rnacentral:lncRNA from 1 species
UUAGUCAGAGGCCACCAAGUUGGGUUACAUUUUGUUAGCAGUUAUCCCUUUUAUCAUCUUUUGUAUUUGAUGAUUAGUGAUGUAAAGAAAGAGUGUAAAGCUUAUUUUGAGGUAAAUGAGAUGUAAGAAGAAAUGGUGAAAAGAUGUAAUGAAUGUAAGGAAUUCGAAAGUGAACAAAAUGGAUGCAAUGUAUAUGAUCUAAAGUGAAUCAUAUUACUUGUGAGUGUUUAGUCUCCUUUUUCUUUCACUAAUGGCUAUUGCUUACCCUCGUGUAAGCCGUUUGUGUAUGUUUCCGCUAGUGCAAUUCUUGUUUGAAUUUUGUACAUGUGAUGAGCCUUGGGCGGAUAGGGAAAACUCUGUCCGUUCGGCGUCUGUUUGACGUGCUCGGGUCGGGCCAAAUCGGCAUCGGUCCCGGGGCGUGACAAUAGGGGUCAAAAAUUUACUUCACAUAACGUAGGCAUGUUAAGCAUUCUAAAAUUCAUAGUAAUUACAUUUAGUAUGGAAAUGCAUGAAUUUCUACUUUAUGAAACACAUUUCACCAAAUAUGAGGAUUUCUCAUAUCAUAGGCUAGGUCAAACCCACCGAACCGUCGCGUGCUCCUUCGAUUCGCCGAACGGAGUUGUCCACGAGUCUCAAAGUAUCCUAAAAGUGAUUAGCGAAGAGAUACGAGGGCAUUACGACCAACCAUAAGAUCAAACAUUAACCUAGAAGCAAAAAGGGCCAAAACUCACCUCAAAAGAAGAAAUCUCUUCCAAAGCUCCAAAAGAGAGCUAGAACCCUUCCAAUCCAAGCCUAAGGAAGGUUCUAGACCAAUCAAUCUAGCCUCAAAAGCCCUAGGUCAAAAAGCCCCAAAAUCAACCCUAAAUCUCAUUUCUAGGGUUUCAUCUACAAAAACUAUCAAACAAGAUCUAAAGGAGGGAAAUGAGCAACAAACCUCCUUAGAAGCUCCAAUCCUAGCUCCAAGGGUGAAGAUCUCCUCCUAUGCAAGCUCCAAAUCCAGGCCUUCAAGCAUCAACAAAGUGGGGAGAGGAAAAGAGGCAAAGAAAUGCUCCAAGUCCACCAAAACCCUCUCCUUCUCCUUCUUCUCCUCCUUCUUCUUCUCUUUCUCCUUCUCUCUCUAGCAAGGGUGUGGGGAGAGUGUGAGGAGGGAAAUGAGAAGAAGAGAGAGGGGAUGGGUCAUAUAGACCCUCUAUUGUAACAAAAUCCAGCUAGGUCCUUCAAAAAUCCAAAAUUGCAUCAGCCCGAACUGGGCAGUUUUCGCCAAGAGGGACCAGUCUCUCCCCAGCAGGGACCGGUCUCUCACUGCGUAGACGCGCUCGGGGACCGGUCUCGCCCGCCAGGGACCGGUUGCCUCAGGGCUGCCGCACCACUGCUCACUCGGGGACCGGUCUUUCCUUUUAGGGACCGGUCCCCGAGAGUAAAAACUCUCAGGAUUGUCCAGAAUUUCAGUUUUCGAACUUUUUAGGUCGAAAAGCAUUCUACAACCCUCCACCAAGUAUGGAAAAGCUCGAAAUACAUCCAAACACUCGAACCUUGCAAUUUGCAAAGGUCCAGUGCGUCACAAUUGCUAUUUGCAACAUACUGCAAUCUGCAGUUUUCUGCACUUGGUACCGGUACGUGGGUAAUCUGUCACCAGUACGCCGCUACGCAGAGGCCAAACCCGAGAGCUAUUAUUCUCGGCUGGCUGGUCUGAUACCGGUACGCAUCAGGGGUGUCACCGGUUUAACAGCCUAAAAUACUCAAACCCGAGAGUUGCUACUCUCGGUCUGCUACGGGGUAAAACCCUCCAACAAUUGCUAUUUGCAACAUACUGCAAUCUGUAGUUUUCUGCACUUGGUACCGGUACGCGGGUAAUCUGUUACCAGUACGCUGCUACGCAGAGGCCAAACCCGAGAGCUGUUAUUCUCGGCUGGCUGGUCUGGUACUAGUAAGCAUCAGGGGUGUCACCGGUUUAACAGUCUAAAAUAUUCAAACCCGAGAGUUGCUACUCUCGGUCUGCUACGGGGUACCGGUACCACUCCGAUGUUUAACCGAUUACACAAUGCCCAGACUACAGUUUAGUACUUGUUCGACCUCUAUUUCGCGUUGAGCAAUGCUAAAACUCAACUAUUUCUCCUAGAAUUCAACUUUGACCCAUUCCAAUAUUAUUGGAAUGUCAAAUGGAACAUGUCCAAGCAUCUCUCUCACCAUACUUUGGUCCUUUUGACCAAAAGUGGUUUAAUAGGACGGGGAAUCAAUAUCUUACAGUGUCUGUCUAACGCCUUGCGCCUAGUGGUUGGGCAAGGUUGCUUUGCCCACUCUCUAGAUGCACAUUUUCAAUUAAAACUACCACGAGCUCUUCUUCUUUCUUUUAUCUAUUUAACAAUUGUGUAGAAAAAAGUAUGACAGGAAUCAAGAGAGACAGAGCUAGAGGUUUAACCAUUCUACUUACGAAAAUAGUUAGAGAAAUUUGCCCUAAAUGAGUUUUAAACAGCUCAGUAAAUACCAAAACCAGUCAAGAAAAAGUUUCAACAAACUUGCUAUUUUGAUUCGUAUUUUAAUCCGUUCAAAAUGGUAAAGAAAAGCAGUUAACUACAGUUUCUAGAAUUUUACAUAAAAGUGAUACGAAAAAGUAUUUUGUAGAUCUCAAAAUUUUCAACUUUAGAAGUACUAGAAGUUUAAAUAUCUAUAAAAACUUAUGAAUCCUCAGUUUACUACUAAGGUGGUGUGUUCCUAUGAAGUUUGGGGAAGGUAGGCGUGCAAACCUUCUCCGUUGCCUUUGGUCACUUUUCUAUUACUGCGUUCAUACUGAGCUGGUCAUGCCGCCUACCUUUAAAUUAAUGCGUUCGCAUGGUGACCUCAUAUAUUACAAUAAUAUUGAUAUAUGGAGACAAAAUAUUUAGCAACGAAGUGUAAUUUUGUUGGUAUUUAAUUAGCGACUAAAUUUAAUGUUCGUCGCAAAAUUAAAAAAUGGAGAGUUUUUAAAACGUCAUUAGUGACAAUGUAACUUUAUUACUAAAACGUAGUCGCUAUAAGUUUAAUAGGAUCAAUUUUUUUCGCCCUAAAUUAAUUGUAGCGACAAACGAUAAUUAAUAACGACUAAAUUAGACGUCACUUUAUGGUUCAAUAAUUAGUGAUAAAAAAUGUGGUCACUGAAACUCUAUUUUUAGCAACAUAUUAAUGUUCCGUCACUAAAAUAUUAAAAAUCUGUUAUAAUUUUUGUUGCUAGAAGUUUAUAAAAUAAAAUUUAAGUUAUUUUAUUUGGUUAAAUUAAAAAUUUUAUUUCAUAUAACUGUUGUAUUUUUUAUUAGUAUUUAAUUCUUAUAAUUUUAUUAAUUAAAAUUUAUGCAAUAUUGAUGAUUUGGUAUAAUUUUGAUCUUAUAUCGUUGUUUCAAAAUUCAACCUAAUUUAAUUCUUUCGUUAGUAGAUUCUUAAAUUUUUAUUUAAAUUAUUAAUUUAAUUUUAAAUUUGUCUAAAUUACAGAAAAUUCGCCUGUCAAUAUCCGCUUUUUUACUUUUUUCCUAUCAUUUAAAAAGUACACUUUACCCCCUUGAAAAAUAAAAAAUAUUCACAUGAGGUUACGGUGUUAACUGUGAUGAUAAAAUUAAUGGAGGAUCAAGUGAUGAUACAAUUAAGGAAUUAAUUAUGGGUGAAUCAAAUUCCCAAAAUCAGGAAUCUACCAACUAUGACAAGUAUUCAAAUCAUAAGCAAUUGUGGAAACUCAAGAAUGACAAUCUCUAACCGACUGUCCCUAGAGCAAGUGGCAAAGGGCUUGGUGGUUGGUACCCGAGACCCAAGUUCGAAUCCUAGUUGAUUCACAUUUCUAGCUAAGUUUAUUUCUAAAUGAAAUAAACGAAGCUACCUAUCUCUCAAAAAAAAAAAGAAAAAAAAAAGAAUGAGAAUCUCUCAAGUAUGGCAACCACUCCAAAUAAAAAAUAUUUGGAUUCAAAUAUUGUACAUUUCUAGAAUGUAAUUAUUGUAAUCCCAGGAAUAAUGGGAUUAUAUUUUGUAUUCAAUAAUUAUAUAUACUGAGAGUUGGUUUUGUGUGUUCUCUAUUGAGGACAACAAUCAUUUUUCCACCAAUUAUAAUUUUCUUUAUGGUAUCAGAGCCAUAAGACAUUAGUCAUCAUACUUGAUCUAAUGGCCACUUCUAGUGCUUCUUCUUCUACCACAAGCCCCACAUUUGUUAUUGCUAACAUUAGCAAUUUAGUCUCCAUUAAACUUGAUCGCGGCAACUAUCUAUUAUGGCGACAAUAAUUUCUUCCCGUUCUUUUUGCUCAUGACUUGAUGGGUUAUAUUGAUGGAUCCAAAGAAUGUCCAUCAAAAUUCACCAAAAAUGCCGAUGGCACUAUUACCGACACUAUCAAUUCGUCCUUUUUGGAGUGGAUGAAACAAGAUCGUCAUCUGCUCUCUUGGAUUCAAGCUACCCUCACCGAAGGGGUACUUGCUUAAGUUGUCGGCUUACAAACCUCUCGCGAUGUUUGGGUUGCAUUGGAACGUCGGUAUGCAUCUCUCUCGCGUGCCCAUAUUUCACAACUUACUACUCAACUUCAAACUAUCAAAAAGAGAGGUAUGACUAUCACUGAUUAUAUGAAUAAAAUAAAAGCCAUAUCUGAUAAUUUGGCGGUUGUCGCUAAAUCGAUCCAUGAUGAUGAUUUGAUUCAUCAUAUUGUUCAUGGUUUUUCCCCGGAAUAUGACCCUAUUCGGGUCUCUAUUUGUACUAAUCCCUCUAUUUCUACUGUUGAGGAAGUGCAUGCUAUUUUAGCCGGUGAAGAACUACUUUUGGAGGAACGACGUCAACUUCAAUCUUCCAUCACUCAUGAAUUAAUCUACCGCCUUCAUUGCAUAAACAAUUCUUUUCAAAACAAUCUUGGCUCUAAUUAUGGCUGAGGGCGCAAUACUAACAAUGGCAGGGGAUGUGGAAGAGGACGUGGUGGUCAUGGCCGAGGUGGAGGCCAACCUCCACGUAACAACAACACAAAUGCAAAUGCUGGGCAACGUCCAACUUGCCAGACCUGCAAUCGAAUUGGCCACAUUGCACUCGACUGUCACUAUCGAAUGGACUUUGCAUAUCACGGGUGUACUGCUCCUCAGGGCCUUCAAGCAAUGGUGGCAACAACUUCUCACUCUGCUGAUCAAACUUGGUAUGCUGAUACUGGAGCCACCAACAACCUAACUUCUGAUCUCUCCAAUCUUACUAUUCGCACCGACUAUCAAGGAAGUGAGAAAAUAUCUGUAGGCAAUGGACAAGGUUUGCGCAUUCUUCAUACUGGUUCAUCUACACUUCAUACCCCAUCUCAACCUUUUCAACUAAACAAUUUGUUACAUGUUCCUGAAAUAUCAACCAAUUUAGUUUCCGUUAACUAGUUUUCUAAAGAUAAUACUUGUUGCUUUCUCUUUGACUCUCAUGGUUUUUGUGUGAAGGACAAAUAGUCGGGGAAGAAGCUUUUCCACGGGCCGUGAAAAUGGACUAUAUCCCAUCAAAUCCUUCAAAAAUAAUCAGAAUAAAUCAAGUCCUUUUGCUCUAUUGGCGAAAGACUUUUUCUUCAAUCGGGCAUCAUAGGCUUGGCCAUCCAUCUGCUACUACUUUGCAUUAUUUGUCUGCGCUUUCGAAUAUCUUUUUCAAAGGUUCUAUAAAAGAAAUAAAUUUUUGUGAUUCAUGUCAACUUGCGAAAAGUCAUCGUCUUCCUUUUAUUCUUUCUACUUAUGUUUCUUCUUCUCCUUUAGAACUUUCACAUAUGGAUGUUUGGGGACCUACCCCUAUUCUAACAAUGAGCGGUUUUAAAUAUUAGGCUAAAUUACAUAAAACCCCCUAUCAAAAUCCGAUUUUUCACUUUCCCCUUCUCAUUUAAAAACCUACACUUUGCCCCCUUGUAAAAUGAAAAAUGUUCACUUCGCCACCUGCCGUUAGUAAUCCGUUAGGGUUCCGUUUAUAAAAUAUUAUUAUAUAUUUUUUAUGUCAAAAAUGCUAUCAGCCUUCUCUUUUGUGAAUAUGGUGAGGGGCAAAAUAGUGAGGGGCAAAACGGUCAUCUUAUCAUCACAGUUGACACCAUAUCCCCCUAUAAAUAUUUUUCAUUUUACAAGGGGGCAAAGUGUAGGUUUUUAAAUGACAGGGGGGGAAAGUGAAAAAUCGGGUUUUGAAAGGGGGUUUUUUUUGUAAUUUAGCCUAAAUAUUUUUUAGUUAUUGUUGAUGACUUUACUAGAUACUCUUGGCUUUUUCCCUUAUACUCCAAAUCUGAUGUUUGUGAAAUUUUAUUGAUUUUAAAUUCAAAAUUGAGAAUUUACUUGAUCGAAAAAUCAAAAGCAUUUGCUCCGAUGGAGGUGGAGAAUUUCUAAAUAAUCGUUUCAAAAAUUUUUUACAUGAAAAUGGUAUCUCUCAUCAGCUUUCUUGUCAACAUACACCUGAGCAAAAUGGUACUGCUGAAAGAAAACAUCGCCACAUUAUCGAAACUAGACUUUCUCUUCUUUUUCAUGCCCACAUGCCUUCUAAAUAUUGGGUGGAAGCUUUUCGAAUUGCCGUCUUUCUCAUUAAUAGAAUGCCAUCAAAACGUUUAAAUAAUAUUUCUCCUUGGGAAAAGAUAUUUGCUCGCAAACCUGACUACUCUUUUCUCAAAGUUUUUGGUUGUGCAUGUUAUCCAUGGUUACGCCUUUAUUCUCAUCAUAAGCUAGAAUCUCGAUCAUUAAAAUGUGCUUUUAUUGGUUAUAGUUUAGAUCACAAAGGUUAUCGAUGUCUUGAUCCUUUUACAGGUCAUGUAUAUAUUUCUCGACAUGCAGUUUUUAAUGAAUCUCAGUUCCCUUUUAAUAAUUUAUCUCGGGAAUGUCCUUCUACUCGGUCAUUGGAUAACGUAGAUUUCGAACCAACUGGAGUUCUUCAUGCUUGGCUACCCUUUUCAUCACUUCCUUUCUCACCACCAUCUAUACCCGCCCCAUUACCUAACCACGAAAUUCCGAGUACCUCUACAGGAAUACCAAACCAAUCACCGUUACAACAUCAAAUUUCCUCUACCGCCCAAACUGCACAUGACACUUCCAUAGAACAGUAGCCUACCAAUACCACUUCUACAAAUUCUAAUUCUCAUUCUAUGCAAACUAGAUCUAAGUCAGGUAUUAUCAUGAGAAAGCAACUGUUCACUUUGAAAGCCACUCGCUACCCUUUACCCAAAGUGCUACUUGCCAUUACUACAGAAAUUGAGCCAACUUGUUAUAGUCAAGCUUCUAAAAGUACUAAGUGGAGAGAUGCCAUGACUGCCGAAUUUAAUGCAUUGCAAAAGUGCGGUACAUGGUCUCUUGUCCCUUUUACUCCUGAUAUGAAUGUUGUUGGUUGUCGUUGGGUUUAUCGAAUAAAACAACGAGCUGAUAGUAGUCUUGAAAGAUACAAGACCCGUUUGGUAGCCAAAGGUUAUCAUCAACAACUUGGGGUUGAUUACAGUGAAACCUUUAUUCCUGUUGCCAAGCCUUCCACUAUUCGAGUUGUGCUAACUACUGUCGUUCAUUUUGGGUGGUCCAUAUGUCAGCUAGGUGUUCAUAAUGCCUUUUUGCAUGGUAUUUUACGAGAAGAAGUAUAUAUGCAACAACCCCCCGGUUUUAUUGAUCCUCUUGCUCCAACUCAUGUUUGUAAGCUCCAUAAAUCGAUUUAAGGACUAAAACAAGCACCUUGUGCUUGGUUCGAGUGUUUCACAACAUAUCUACUUGCUUUGGGAUUUCAUGGUGCCGAUGUCAACACUUCUCUUUUCAUCCAUACUUCUCAUAAUGAAAUUCUUAUUCUUUUUAUAUGUGGAUGAUAUCAUUAUUACCGGCAGUAAUUCAACUUCUAUUCACAAUCUUAUUCGUGAACUUGGCACCCAAUUUGCAAUGAAAGAUCUUGGUCCUCUCUAUUACUUUCUUGGUAUCGAGGUACACCGUGAUUCAAAUGGCAUCUUUUUAUCUCAAUCCAAAUACUCCAUUGAUCUUCUUACAAGAGCAUAUAUCGAUAGUGCGAAAGCAUGCACUUCACCAGUUUCUUCUCAUAAGAGGCUCUCCCUCAUUGUAGGCGAUUCUCUUGAUGAUGCAACCUUCUAUCGGAGUAUUGUCGGGGGACUUCAAUAUUUAUCCAUGACGCGACCAGAUUUAGCCUUCUCUGUUAAUCAGGCUUGUCAAUUUAUGCAUGCACCAACUUCUGAACAUUUAAUUGCUGUCAAAAGAAUCCUUCGAUUUCUCAAAGGAACAGUGGACCAUGGACUUUAUAUUGGAAUAGGCGAUCUUAAUUUGCGCGCCUAUUGCGAUGCCGAUUGGGCAGGAGAUCCCGAUGAUCGCCGCUCUACUAGUGGAUUUGGUGUUUUUCUUGGUCCGUGUUUAGAAUCUUUGUCACACCCCGAGACCCGCGUAUUUUGUCGAAUUCGAGCCCACUAACAGACCGCCGAACGGACAGAAUUUUUCCUGUACGUCCUAGGCGUUGCAAUCAAUACAAUUUGCGAGGUUCCAACCAGAAACAUAUUUCAAGCAAGGAUUGCAUAAGGAAGUAUCAAAAACAUAAAACAACUAAGCUAUAACAAGCAUUCACAUCACAUGCUUUUUACAUAUUACAUUUUCGUUUUCUUUUCUUCCAAAUACAAUCAAUAUUAUUACAACAUUGUAUUCUUCUUUUCUACAACCCCUAGUGUCACGCCCUGGACUUCAGCAGAAGCUCACCAGUCGCGUGCACAGAUCCGCCGUGUACAUCACAACCACAAGUAUACACCAGACGUCUACAAUUCACAUAGUAAAAGCAUUCGAUUCUAACCAGGUAAUCAGAGCAUAACUUACUAAUAUAGUUUAAUAAACUCAUACAACACAAAACCUUAUUACAACUGAAAUGUAAAGUACAUUCUACAUAAGUCUCAUAUACAACAUGGUGCUAAACCAAAAUAAACUAAUCGAGGUUCAUCUAUGUAACAUCGAGAAAGCUCUAAUUAGCCGCUAACCCCUCGCCACGAACCCUAGCCUUUCCCGCUGUGGAAGGCUCUGUAAAAACAACAACAAAGAGGGUGUGAGAACUAUUAAACAAUAGUUCCCAGUGGGUAAGCCGCCGAGAGUGGCGAAGUACACCACUAGGUCAACUGAGGCAUAAGUAUGUAGCAGUAAGUAAGCACAGUAAAUGCAGUAAUAAAAGAAACAGUUCAAUCAUAUUAUGCCUCCACAAGAUAUGUCUUAACAAGUUUAUUUUUCCGUUCAUAUGAAUGAAUGUUUUAGUCAUGCUAUAUGCAGAAUAUCGUUAUGUUUACUAACUAAUGACAUCAUGUAGCUAUAGCUAUCUUCUAUACUGACAAGAGUAUAUACAUUCAAAUACUGUUGCAAUACUACUAAUUAGCAGAGAUGUCAAUUCUUUGGUAUGUUUACUACUAGAUAGACUUAACUAAUGACAUAAAGUAUCCUUACUACUAUGUCCAUCUAAGGUUAAGGCAAUUUAUAAUAACCCAAUUCACAGUAGAUUUACACAUGGUAAAGUCAAAGCUGCGCUGUGCCUAAUGGCCCCGUGGAAGUCAACACUACCCACAGCAAUCCACUUCGGCGCUUAAAUUCGUACAUAAGCGAGCAAUCUGUCGCUAAGCUACUCCGGAGUGCUGGCUUGGGGGGCGCGACCCCCACAAGCGUGUGCGAAAGAGCAUAAUGGCAUGCAAGCUGUAAUCCAUAGCACGAGUAUCACAAUCUCAUCAUGUCUCAGACAUGGAAGCUCAACUCGACCCAAAGUCGACACUGUAGUACUCAAUUGUAGGCCACUAUCAACUACUUGUUGACAUACUUUUACCACUAGCUAGUAUAACUUAAACUAGUAUAUACUUUACAUCAUAAUGGUUAUACCCACACAUACUCAUAUAAAGUCCUCUCACUACUCCCUAUACAUAAGGAAAGUGGUUUUCUAAAGUUAUGUCCAACGACUCGUGGCACAUAGUUUAUAGUUCAAUAUAAUCCUUUUCUACUUGAGAUGACCAGGAAAUAUAUAGUUGUUCUACUUGAUCAUGCAAGUAAAUUCUCAUAUCCAUUUCUAAUUCUUUACUAGAUUGCAUUCAAUAAAAUAACAAUUAAGGUAUAUCAUAAUGCCAACUUCUAGUUACUUAACUAGAACAAACAAUAUAGCAUGAAGUUAAGCAAGUUCUAUCCUGUAAAAGUGAAACCAACAGUUUAACAUAAGUGGGUACAAUAUUCCAAAAAAUACUCUUCAUAUGAUCUUGUAUAAGUCAUUCUAUAAUACCGAUAUAUACUCAAGUAAGUUCAUUCCGCAUGGUAUGCUAGAGGUUCAAGCAUCAUAUUUACAAUAGGAACUAGCAUGAUUUAGCUUGGAGGUUAAACCAAUUUACCCGGUUCACUUAGUUAUACAUUCAACUAAGUACUAUUUUCCUGGCUUUAAUUCGAUGCACCAGUAAGUGAUAUCUCUCUUUACUUAUAUACGCUAGUACAUUAACAUCAGAUAAUACAUGCUAGACUAGCGAGUAAUCUCUAAAUGCGAAGCAAUUCCAUAAUUCCUCCCUACUAUAUAGAGAUUCUCGUUUAGUUGACAUGCUAUGCAGAUUUGCACGUGUCCAACACAUUCAAAUACACAUAUAUUCAUUUGAAUAUGCAACCAUUUCAUUUUAUAAUGUCAAGAAGACAUAGAGGGAAUUCACCUAUUUCGGGAAGGUCCGACCCACCUAAUUGCUGUCGACUCUUGUUGAUCCCACAAGUGAAGACCAUCCGAAGCUUCUAAGUAUCUUAGCAAUCAUAUUACUCAAGUUAGAACCCUGCUUUCACCUUUACCAAAUAUCUUACAAAUACAUCUCAAUUAGGUAGAAUUAUACCUAAUAUGAAGUCCAGUCUCAACUUCCCUCGAAAUCAGGUUGAAAUAUACUUGUUCACGCUUCUCAAAAAUUGGUAACUUCAACUUAGAGUAGCCGACUUCCUGCAGUGAACCUGCUGCGAGUUAACUUUAAAAACUGCCUCAACACUACAAUCAACACAUCCAAACUAUAAGGAGUUGGAUCGCUCAUCUUACACAGCUUCAUCUGAAGCUAAAGCAUAUUAAAACCAGUCCACCAGGGUCACCAAAACAUAACUAUAAGGUCCAAAUACCUUGCUGUGAUCAAGUACCAAAAUCAACAUUGAUACCUCUACAUAACACAUAAUAUAAGCUAAAAUCUCACUUAUUUAGAUUCCCGACUUAUAAUUCCACUUCCUACUGGUUGAAGUACUCUCAAACGAGCUCACAGGGUCAAGAUAUUCAGCUCAAAAUGAUUCUCAAGGCUGCUACAAUCAUAUACCAAAAACAAUUUCAAUACUUCACCAAUACUUAAUUUAGCAUCAACAUAGGGCAAUCAAUUAAUUACUCACCUCUUCCAAGUUUCAAUCUAACUUCCCCUGGUUUCGAAUUGUAGGACCUCAGCUAAUACCAGCUUCAAAAGUUACUCGAAACUCAGUUACCAAAUUCACAUGUUCUGCUGUGAACAACGCCAAUACGACGUCAAGACUAUCACUAAUUUCAGCAUCUAAGUAGGAAAGAAUGGCUGAUUAAUUACCUUCCAACUCAAUUCAGCUUAUUCUCGGUUUAAGGCUGAAGAAUCACAGCAAAUAGCUUCUCUAAAGCUGUUAAACCCCCCCGCCCCAAACCUGCUUGCAGCAAGGAGAACUAAAACAACUCAACAUAACUACUUAGCCUCAAACUAUGGAAAGGUUAGAUCAAAAACCUUUCUAUAUAUCCUCCUCAGCAAAUCUGAGUUUUAAGGUUGACGAAUUGCUGCUAAAACACUCUUUCCAUUGGCAGGAGCUGCCCCAAUCCUUCUUACACCAGCAAGCAUCAAGAUGGAGAUGAAAUCAAGUCAAACCCUUGAUUUCUACUUAGAGAGAGGAACCCUAGAGAGAGAAAGAAAGGAGAGGGUUUAAACCCUGUUCUCAGAGCUCCAGCACACUCUAAGCUGCUGCAAGGAUCGAGCUGGGGAAUAAAAGGCUAAUCUCAAAGGUGAAAUGACCAAAGCAGCCUCAAUCCACACAGCUGCUGUGAUGUGUACUGGUACACGUGCGAUGCUGUACCGGUACACUAUGCAAAAUCCUGCAUUUCGAAAUUCCAAUGCACUUUCGAUCUUCUGGCUGUUCGAUCACUCUUUUAACUCGUCAAAAAUCUUAUUACCACUCUUUAAAAGAUGUAGGUUAGCUCCCAUUGCCAAUUCCAUUCUUCAAACUUCAUAAUUGGCCAAAUUCGGAGUUCUACAUUUGAAAAGUGCAUUUACAAUGCACUUUUCCACUUCCAGCUAUCUGUUUGUUCCAGUAACUUGCUGAUACUUCGCGACAGUCCUUCAAAAGUUGCAGAAUAGUUUCAAUUUCUAUUCGAACACCCGAACUUCGCAAUUUGCCAAAGUUCAGUGUAUUACACCUAGCUAGGCCGACUCGGGGUAAUGCUAUCUCUGGUCUCUGUGGUAGGGUGUUAUCUACGAAGCUACGCCCUUUCCUCGCGCCGCUGCGCUGCUCGCGUGCGAAUCUAAAACCCCAAAACCACGUGGGGUGAGAACUAUUGUCCAUAGUUCCCAGUGGGUACGGCCAUCCCAGGGAAGAGCUCGACCCACCAGGUCCGAAGGAGGUACUGCAACAUGUUAGUCCAACAAACAUCCACAGAUAUAUAUAUAUAUAUAUAUAUAUAUAUAUAUAUAUAUAUAUAUAUAUAUAUAUAUAUAUAUAUAUAUAUAUAUAUAUAUAUGCAAGUACUAAAAUACAUGUUAUGCCUCUCAACAUGCAACAAUGCAAAUCAUGCAACAAUGCAAAUCAUGCAAUAAGCUAAGUAGAUCAACCGAUUCUACUUUCAAUCUUGCUAUUCAUAGCUUAUACAAUUGACAUCUAAGGUUUUCUCUAUCUUAGAUUCAUGUCAUUUACAAUUCUACUCAUAAGGUUCCAUUUACCUUUAUCAAGCUAUCCACUCGACUCGGUCUUGAGUUAAUCAUCCGCGGAAUAUCGUGUAAAGUCAGGCUCGAGGUGAAGGACGUCUCACAUUCACCUCGGCCUUAAAUCCACUUAACUGGGACUCCGAAUCCACUCUACUGGGAUUCAACUACAGCUCACAUGCUUGUCACCCAAUCUGCUUGGCUAACCCGAAGGUUACGCCUCGACUCACUUUGAAAAUCUCAUAGGUGAGGAGAAUCUGCACUCGCGCACCGAGACCGUCUGCGGGACAACUACGUCUCCCCCUAUCGUGAAGUACUCUGGAGACCACUGCUUGGGUGGAGCGACCACGCCAAGUAAAAACAAACUAUGUGAGUAUGAUCCAAUCCUCUCAUCGAGGAUACCCUAUCUACUAGGAUUAACAACGACAUGGGAAACCCACUAAUCCCAACAACAAUGUCACAAGUGUCUCUACUACACUAGUUUCACGUGGCACAUAUCCACGACUUAGGAAAUCAUCUAUCCCUAUAUUCAUGUCAUAGUGUCUCUACUACACUAAUCCAAAUGCCACUCAAUCUACUUGACAUUGUACUUGUCCACAUCAAGUAUUAUAGUUUUCAUGUUCUUGUUUUCUAAUAUCGAACUCUCUAAUCGACCAAGUUCAACAUGCAUAGUUUAUCUACUAUGAUCCACAAUAGGGCAACAUGCAUAGUUCAUCCAACAUAAUCUACAAUAUGUCAACAUGCAUGUUUUAUCUGACAUAUUCCAAUGGUAGGCAACAUCCUUCAACAUAAUAUAAUUCAUGCACUCAUCUAGCAAUUAUAUUAUGCAUUCAUCUAGCAUCUAUAUGUAAUACACUGAACUUUUGCAAAUUGCGGAGUUCGAGUAUGUGGAAUGGUGUGUGGAUCACUCCUACAUGUUCUAAAAGGUUAGAACAAGUUUUUGGACAAGUUAGAGGAUGAUUGGAAUGCUAAAAGUGAGAAAACGCAUUGAACUGGCGAAAUCAGCCUUUUCUGCUUGCUGUACCGGUACAGCCGCUAUGGUGUACCGGUACACAGUGGCAAUUCGUGGAAGCAAGGCUAUUUUGGUAAUUUCACCUUCUAAUCCCUAUCUAUAACCCCCAGCACNAAACCUUUUAGACCAGGGAUAAGCUACUUUAAAGCUUAAUUGGAAGAUUUAGCCAUUUAAGAAGCGAAAAUCGGAACUUAAUGCACUAAGUUGUGCGAAUUGAUGCAAAUUGGAAUUUUUCUUCGCAGCAGGUCUUCGAGCUUCGUUGAGCUGAAAUUGUGCUCUUAGAAGCUAGUUUGGAAGGUGUUCUAACCAAGGGUAAGCAGGAAUUUCUGUUAGAAAUCCAGUUUCGCAAGAAUUGAACCAUAUAAGCGUGUAUACAUACAUUUUGACGUCGUUUUGGUAUUGUUCGCAGCGAGAUCGCGAUCGAGCCUUGGAUCGUCUUCGAUUGCCUUGUGAGGACUCUUGGAGGUUACACUUGAGGUAUUUCACUAGCCCAAACAAGGAUUUACGGGAUUACUUUGUGUGAAGUGUAAUUUAGGCCGAAAUCGGAUAUUCCGGUCGUAAUUUUGACGCGGUAUUGAUGUUUGUGUUCAGCAGGUUUGAGACCUAGUGGAGCUGAUCUUUGGAACUUUUUGUGACUAUUGGAGCUUAGUACUAGGUGGGUCGGACCUAACCAGAGCAAGUGAAGCUCCUCUAUGUUCUAUAUGUAUUAUAGAAAUAUGUUAGUUGUGUGCUUAUGUGAUAGCUAAAGGGCUUGAGAAUUCGUCAUCAUAACAUUUACUAUAUUGACAUAGAAUCUCUAUGAAGUAGAGAAUUCUCAUGCCUAAAUGUAUUCAUAUUCCUAUUUGGUUUAGUUGAAUAACAAUGAGACACGUUAUUAUGCUCAUGAAACGUAGAGAACAGUGGCAUUCUCUUUUUACUCGCUUGAUUACAAGUAGAGAACAAUGACAUUCUCUUGACUCUGAAGUAGAGAACUAUGACAUGCUUGUGCCUAUGUUGAUAGUGCCAUGAUAGUGAAAGAUUCUAAUGCCAUAUGUAAAUUAGCAUUACUCCUGCAUGCCUACUAAACUAGUGGAUUCUAGUUGUUGUUAAUAUUUGUUAUACUGAAAUGUCGAUCAAAGGAUCGAGAGCGAGAACGCUGCAAAUGAAAACAUGAGAAUUGAGACAUGUGGACAGUGAAAUAUGCUUGCUUGCCAUCGUGCUCAUUCGCACACGCUUGUGAGGGUCGCUCCCUACAAGCCGGCACUCCGGAGUUGGCCUACGCGACAGUUGCUCGCCCGUGCGGGAUUGGGUGCCGAAGUGGAUUGCCGUGGGGAGUGUAUACUACCACGGGGCCAUUAGGCGCGGCGCAAGCUGGACUACCUUGGGUAGGUCCCUGUGAAUGAAAGGAUAGUACUCAAUGAAAAAGGACAGUAAUGAAUGCUUAUGAAUUAAAGUGUACAGUAGUCACUUUCAUGUUCGUGCUUAUAUUCAUGUCUAUGUUCAUGAUUACAGAAAUUGCCAUAUCCCUAUUAUGUAAAUGAUUCAUUACUGUAGAAUGCCAUCACAUGUUGAUUACAUGCUUAUUACUUGUUAGCAUCAUGCUUAUAAACCAUGCAAUUAUUGUUUUUUGCUUUCAAUUAGUACAUCAUGAGCCUAGUGGUGUAAUUCGCCGAGGCUGGCGGCUUACUCACUGGGAACUAUUGUUAAUAGUUCUCACGCCCUUUUUGGUGGUUGUUUUUACAGAGCUAUCUACAGGAGAGGCUAGGGAUCGUGGCAAGGGAGUCGCGCCUAGCUAGGCACUACUAGGAGCGUGCUAGUCGAUCACCUUGUUACUCGGGCUACGGCCGAGGGUGAUGUCCAUUAUAUAGAGUGACCACCAUUGUACCUAUUUUUGUAUACCCUGUGUUGUAUAUGAGUUGAUGAUCCAGAUGUUAUAGUUCUUACUUCUUCUCCUUUUGUUGAGAUCUUGGAUUGUAUACUCUCUUUGUUUUUACUGAUACUAUAUAUCGACUUGUACAUUGCUCUGAUAUCAGGAUAGGAUUUUCUUUGCUUUACUUCCUAUCGAUUUGCUUUCUUCGUAGACGCCUUAUAUACUGCAGGUGUAUGGCGGGUCUGUGCACGUGCCGGAUAUGCUUCCGCUGGUACCCGGGCGUGACACUAUAUCAUGCAUCAUAUUAUCAUUUGCAACCUACCAAAUAUACAUAUAUGCAUCAAUGAUAAAACCGUAUUCCACUUCGACAUAGAAGCGAGUUAAUAACUUCGGUGAGCACAACCCACCUCGCAACGCUCUCCGAUUGCUUUCGACACUUGCAAUUGGCCUCCCGCAGCACACAAUAUUCGGUUCGGCUCGAAUCCGCAAUCGAUCACCGAACGCCCGCUAAUCCGCGACCUAGGGUCACCGAUGGCUCAUCUCUAACCUUCAAUUAGAGAACAAUAGGGUUUAAUUAGAUUAAAACCCUAUAAUUUUCAAACCCUCAUUUUAAGCCCUAGCAUGAAAUUAACCUCCAAAUAUUCUAAAAUUAAAUAGAGCGACAUGCUAGAAACACUCUAGAGACUACUAGAACACUAAGCAUUAAGGAUUAAAUCGAAUCCUAAACACUUACCGAAAUUGUGAACACCGAGUCAAAAGCACGCCGCUCAACCGGGCGCACGAAGACUUGAUCCGUCGCUUCCAACGCAUUCAUAAGCUCGCUCUCUGCCAAUGCCGCGAAUUUGAGAGAGAGAUUUAGAGAGAUGAGAGAGAUAUUUAGAGAGAGAAAGUGUCACACCCCGAGCCCUGCCUAUUUGGUCAGGUUCGGGCACGCCGACAGAUCGCCGAACGGACAGGGUUUCCCCUGUACUGUGAACAGAGUCUCCCCUGUACGUUCAAGGCAUCACAAUCAAUACAAUACGAAGGUUCCAAACAGAAACAGUAUUCAACAUACAACGAUUGUAUAAGGAAGGUAUCAAACAACAUAAACACAUCCUAUGUUAUUGUUAGAAAAUUGCGUACGGUAAAAACGCAGCGGAAAAAAAAAUCAAACAAAUUUGAUUUUUGAAAACUCUCGAGAUCCAAUCUCAAAAACCACGUAAUUAGGAUCCCUCAUGUUUUAAGAUUAAAGAAGAAAAACAAGAUCGAAUCUUUACCUUUUUCGCGGAUAGAUCUUCCUUGUUAAAUUUGAUGAUCGUGGAAUUCGGUUCUCUUGAAGCCGCACACGCGUCCGGCCUCUAUAGGUAUCCACACGAGGUUCUUGAUUUGAUCGAUGUCCUCACCGGGGUGCUAGCUCCCUUGCAAUAGGACGUCUUUCUUGCUAGAAGAUGGAAGAGAGAAGAGAUGAUAGAUGACGGCUAGGGUUUUCUAAAAACCCCCGUAUAUUAUAUAUAGGAAUAUAAUCCUAUUCCUAAUAAUAUAAUGACAAUUAAGGAUAAGUAUAAAUCUAGAUUUAAAUUUAUCUUUUCCUUAAUUGGUUAGAUCGAUCAAAUCCUAAUUUGAUUCGACUUGAAUUUUAUAUUAAUUUGAUCUUAUCAAAUUAAUAAUGCAACAUUUGCACAUAAGUCCUCUUAUAAUUUACUAACCAUUAGUAAGUCCUCUCUUGUAACAUUUACACCUUAAUACCACUAAUUUGUAACAAUUACAAAUUAGUCCAAUUAUCAUUAUAUUGACAAUUAGGUCCUCCGACGAUUCAAUAAUCACGAUCUAGCUAUUCGAUCAAUUACAACCUCUUAUGUGUGUGACCCCAUAGGUUCUAUUCUAUCUGGUAGUGAGAUAUAUUUUGAUCACUAUCAACAAUAUCACUGAAACUCCUUUCAAUGGUUUAGAACAAUUCCAACUCAGCCCAAUGAGAAUUAUCGAUCAUCUAGAUAAUUCUCAUGAGUCUCACAAUCCACCAGUGACGCCUAGCAGCAUGUAGUGGCAUUUCAUAGAAUGAAUAAUGAACCUCUUGGUGGCAGUCCCGUGUGAUACAAUCCUUCUAUCAAUCGAGUCCCGAUAGACGGCAGGCUAUGGAAUAACCGUCAAACCCCAAUGUCUGUCAUAUUUAAAUUUAACGACUUCCGAGUUUUAAUAUCAGAAACACCUUUUUCCCGCUAUUUAUUCUGCCACAAUGAGCCAGGUCUUCUAAACUCCGGUCUCAUAAAUCACAUAUAGAUCAACACCCCUAUACUAUACCAAGGGAGAUAGAUUCCAUCUAAGUGCGCACCCUAUUUUUACAAUGAACCUACUAGCUCAACCAUGGCACCGAAGGACCGAAUGGCCUAGGACCAAGUGUAUGUACAGUCAAACUACGACCUCAUUGUGAAUAGCCGAGGCACCCGCAGGUCAAACGCAGUCACAGCUUAUGCAACACAUGGAAAGUCACUGAGAUGAGUAACUCCAGUGACUUUCCCGUUGGUCCUGCUGUACCUUGUUCUCUAACAACCACUGUAUAUUCGCUUUAGUGUCCCCAACACUGUCGACUCGAGACUCUCCUACCAGAAAUGGGAAGGACCUAUGCACCAAUCCUACCGGAUCAAUCACGCAGUCCCGUGAUGAUCCAUUAUCGGAGCAUUUAGAAAUUAACCACAACAUGGCACAUGUCUCAAAUCUCAAACUUGAAAUAAUUUAAUCAUCUUAUUAAUUAUUGACGAUCAUGGACACAUACACAACAUGAAUGAAGAAUAAAAACGCAUAAGACUAAUUCUAAUAUUUUAAAAGUCAAAUACAAAUUUAUGUCUAGAAAAGAAUAUAUGUGUCGGCCUGGUUGCCUUCUAGGGGCAUACAUCUAACAAUACUCCCCAUUGCCACUAAAGCCCAAUUAAAGCCUUAUUACCUAAGCCCCAUCUUCCUCAAGUUGGACUUCAGUCUCUGUUGGCUAAGUGUUUAAGUCCAAUGGCUCUGCCACGUUAUCCGUGGAGUCUAUCUCCUGCAUCUCGAUAUAUCUUCUAUCGCAAGGUAGUCCGCGUAUAACUAUGAAACCACGCUCUUAUAUGCUUGGAUCUUGAUGAACUUGGGCUCCUUAGCUAGGGCUAUCCGCCAUUUUUGUCGCCAUAGAAGUGUAGGCCAUCUGAUGACAUACACAUCUAAUUCGCUACAAACUUCAUGAAUCAGAAGGCCUACAUCAAAUGCGGCAUAUACUUCGCUUCAUGGUUAGGGGUUAGUUUUUUGGAACUCUCCAUACACUUAAAUACACUAUCGGCAUAAGAAACAACAUCCUUGACGUACUCCUUCUUAUCGUCAACAUCACGACAUAAAGUCUGAAUCAGUGAAUCUUGUACUUUCAACAUCUUUUUUCUCCAAAGAUGAAAGGAAGCAAUCCUUAGUGCUUCCCAAGUUACUUGAAGUAUAGUUCUUCCAGCAACUUCCAUGCUCAGCGCCUGGAUUAGAUUGAUAUCUGCUGUGACACUCACACACCAAUCCCGAUAUCCAUAUCGUGUACGACAGCAUAGGUCUAUAAAGACUCCUAUAGCGAGGCAUAAGGGAUUUAUCAUACAUGAAUCUCUUCAAUGUAUUGGGCAACAAUUUUCUAAAGAGAUAAAUUCAUGUCUAAGAGGUAAAAGAGUCCUCUUUUUGGAGUUUUCCAUGCCGAACGCUCUUCAGCACCUCCUCUAUGUACAUUUUCUGUAAAGGCUACAUUCCUUUUAGAUCUAUCUCUAUAGAACUUAUCCCCAAACAUAGGAUGCUAUCCCCUAAAAAAUCUUUAUGAGAAAAAGAAUUUUUUUAGACACACCACAUUUACACUUAUCAGCAUUGCGAAUGUCAUACCCAAUAGCGAGAAGUCAUCCACGUAUCAUAUACGAGGAUGUGACAGCUCUCAUCCACUUGACCUUCUAUAAACACAUGCGUUCCUCCUCAUUCUUUACGAAAUCAAACGAUUUAAUCACGUUAUCCGAAUCGAGUAAUUCCAAGUCCGAGAUGCUUGCUUAAGUCCAUAAAUGGACCGUUGACACUUGCAUCUACUUUGUGACUUUGUCACGGAAGUUGAAAAACCAGCUAGGCUGCUCCAUAUAAGAUAUCUUCCUCAGAUAUUCCAUUUAGGAAGGCACGUUUUCACAUCUCAUCUUGCCAGAUUCUCAUUAUCAUAGUAUGCUGCACAGGGCAAGCAGUGUUUCGAAUGGAUUUACCGAUGGCCACAGGAAAAAGAUCUCCUGAUAGUCAAGCUUGUGCGUUGAUUAACUUUCGCAACCCACCUUGCCUUUAUAGGUCUCUCCUUUCCAUCCGAAGCCUACUUCUUUUGUAGAUCCAUUCUACAGUCCGAUAGGUACUAUACUUCUCGGUAGGUCUACAAAUCAAACAUGGUGGAAUGAUAGAAUCAAUUCUUCAUGAUUCUUCUCAUAGCAUCCAGCUAUUUCUCGAAUACGAUGUCAGACAUCCGCUCGUUGUAGGUUUGGGAUCAUCUCCAUGUUUCCUAUUUCCCAUCAGAGAAUAUUUCCUCUACUUCUCUGUAGCACGAUACCUAAGUAUCUUUAGGUGGAUGGGAGAAUUCUACUCACCUACGAGUGGAGGAGGUUACUAAUGUAUCUGCUCAGCUUGAAUAGUGUCUGUAGGUUGCAUGACUCGUUGCUCUUCUAAGAGACUCUCGUUUCUCGAGCUCAAUUUUUCUCUCACUAGCUUCUGAAUAAACUGUUUUCAAGAAAAAGCAUUGUUUGCUCACACUACAUUGUGAUUCUCUGGAUAAUAAAAAUGGUAACCAUCUAAGUUUCUUAGGAUAUCCAAAUAAAACGAGCCUCCAGACUACCCUAACUGUCCAGCCUGUAUCGCUUAACAUAGGCGAUAUCCGCCCAACACCUCCCUUGAUAUACCACAGGCUUGGUUUCUUACCAUGCCACACUUCACGGCCGUGGUAGAACGAUUUAGAGGGACUCUAUUUAACAAUAAGCGCGGUAAUGCAAAGCAUUCCCAAAGAUAAAUAAAGAAAGAAUCUAGUGAAGCUCAUCCAUAGAUCGACCAUAUCCAAUACAGGUUCGGUUUACUCCGUUUCUGACACCCCGUGAGUUAGGUGUUCCGGAGGAGUCCACUGUGAGACUAUGCCGUUUACCUCAUUUGAGAUUUUAUGAACUCUCCACUAAGGUACUCCUCCUCGAUUUGAUCGAAGAACCUGAUGGAUUUUCAGUUUGUUUUCUACUAUAUUGAAUUCUUUGAACCUUUUCAAAAUCUCAGAUUUGUGUUUCAUCAAGAUACACAUAAGCCAUACCUGUGAAUAAUCAAUCGUAAAUUGUUAUAAGUAGAAUAACUUCCCCUGACAUGCACAUCAAAGGCCCACCCACACAUCAGUGGUAUCAAUGAGUAUCUCAGUGGCCCAUUUCCCUUUCCUACAAAGGUAAUUAGUCCAAUUUUCUUGAAGAUAAGAUUCAUAAACGAUAAGACUCUGAAGUCAAUGGACCGAGAAGUCAAUUUUAUCCAAUUUAUUGAUCUUUCUUCUUCAAAUGAUCAAGCCUGAGGUCCACAUAUACUUUAGGUUCAUCUCAUCUCUAGGUUCUCUAGACCCAACCAGCAGUCACUCUUGUCAGUCUCAGAAUAUUUGUAGAUCUCCAUAUGUAAAAUGUAUAAAAGACUGUCAAUCAUAAAACCACAUGCCAAUUAAUUUUAUUUCUAAAUAAUAUGUCAGUAGUUUUUCGUCAAAAUACAACCAUCCUGUGCAGCAAAUAAAUUUUCUGCUAAGCAGGACGGUACAUAAUCAAGUCUUUACAGUAAUUAAAACAUAUCCUCGCACGGUUAGUUCCAAAGGAUAGGGUGCAGCGCUACAGUACAACUUUCCGCGUCGUGCCCACCCGUAGGGUCACUUCACGCUCCCUAAGCCCUCACUUCUCUUUCUGGAAGUAAGAGGAAAUCUUAGUGUCUAUCUACGGCAAGUCUCGACAUACACUCCGAAGGUGUUCUUCCUCUCUACAAUUUACGCUCUCACAGUCGAAAGGCAGUUCCUUUCGUAAUGACCGUCAUAUUGCAGAUGGAAACAUUUUCUUUAUUCGCGGCUCCUUUCUUCAUGACUUCCUCUUGCGCAUGUUUUCCGUCUUUUUAGUUUCCUUCGCGGUUCUUCUUCCAAUUAGCACUUCUUUAGACAGAGGAAGCUCGCUCCACACACGUGAACGUUCCUUUGAACUUUCAAAAGUUCCCGCCUAUCUAAUUACCAACAUGUUCAAUAACUCUGCGUUUGGUGCAGUCAAGUUUUUUUCAUACUGUAGUUUACAGAUAAACUGUCCAUAUAUACAGGAAGGAUUGCAGGAUCAGAUCAACUUGCAAUUCCUUAUUCCAUUUACGCCAAGCUUCUCUAAGCUCCUCGAAGGACUAUGAUUAUUGUCAGAACAAUGAUCAUCGACGACUGCCCUUCGUUAGUUAUUGGAUCGUUGGCAACCGUGAGGUUUGACCUUGUCGAAACAAUGCAGAGCUAUUGAAUGAAAACUAUUUAAAUUCCUUUGCCCAGUCUUAAAUAUAAUUCAGUUAAGAUUUGCUGGUCGAGCAUACAUAAUGAUAAGGAAAGCAGACAUUUAUUUGGGCAUGAAGUAAAGAUUAAUUAAAUAUUUGUAUUUGUUCUUGAAAAAUUGUUAGAGAUUUAAACAAAUUUAGCCUCCACUCAUUUUCUCGAGUCUCUUACACUCCUGGUAAGAAAGGAAACAAGCACGACAAGAGGUCAAGUGGUUACUGCGGUUCCCACCAAUUUAGACGUAACCACUCAUCCUAACAGUUAUUGUGAUAUGCAAACCGAUGAGUGGACACUCUGUCAAUGCUUCUCAAGCAAAUUGCAGUGAUCGGUCUCUAAGUCCUGUUAGGCCUCAACCUGACACGUUAUUGGCUCCCAUUCCUUAGUUUAAGUCAGACCCACCGUCAAACGCGUACAAAGCCCGUCAUUGGUCCCUCACCUGACAUUAUUGGCCCAACCCCAUUUUACUCGCAGGCAUCUCAUGCGUAAUCAGUGGUUGCGCAAUCCCGAAUGCCCAAGCUGACCACUGAACAGCCUAGCCAAUCAACACCAAGAAAAGCGCCCGCACUUCUCAACGGCGGAAGACCAGCUCGAAUUAAUAUUUAUGAGAGAUUUAUUUAGGUCUCAAAAAAUUAUAUUAUUACAUCUAAUGCUAAAUAAAAUAAAAAAUCAAUCCCGCAACAACAUAAUUAACUAGAUAUGAUCAUGAUCUUAGAAGUGUAUUCGACUCGACCACUGAGUCGAAUCGGGUCUUUAGGGUCAUAAAUAAGACACACACAUCAUUGUUGAUCGUCUUCAACUUCUUGAUGAUCUGAGCUUCAACCUGAUUGAUUCUUAUCAACACUUGAUCUCGACCGCUCCAUCAAGUAUUCAUCUCUAUCCGGGACUGCGAACUUUUAGGCUUGCCAACCGAUCAACCAAGACGGUAACCAUACAUUAUAAACCAAAUAAUAAAAAUGAAAUAAAAAUAAUUACAUUUGAAUACUUUUAUCCUCUAACCUAAUUGAGAACGCAGGCUCGCAAAUAAAAUCCAAACCCACCCCCCCCCCCCCCCCCCCCCCCCGGCUCGUCACGCAGGCACAAAUAUAGGCCACUUCAAUUACAAAAUUCUCAAUUUAACAAUUUAAAAAUACAGAUUCGGGCAUACACAUCAAACAUCACAUGUCUAAACAAAAAUAAAUAGGUUGGUAUCCAUAUCAAUCCCGUAUCUCAUACAUCACCAUGCUAAUAAUAAAUUUGGAUAUUCUAAUUUAAACCGUUAAACCGAUGAUUGCCGAAAGAAUAAAUUAUAAAAAUAAUCAAUCUAUUGAAUUACUUAUAAUUUUGAUCAACAAUUUAAUCUACAAUAAAACAUUUAAUGCCAUCAAGAAAUCAAUUUGAUCUAAUCAAGAUUAGAUUUUUUUCAUUAUCUUAUAUUUUCAAUCUAAAUCAACCUUUUAAAAAAAAAAUUUAAAAUUUUAAAAAACAUUUUCGUCGUAAAGAUGCUACAGUAGAAUCGGCUACAGUAACUUUUUUUUUUUUUUUGAAAAUAGAGAACCAUCGUUAAUAUUGUUAAUCACUUUGAUCUUUCGAAUUUUCCAAACAACGUCUAAUAAAUCGUUUUCUCGGCAGAAAUACGGUUUAAAUACCCAAAAAAUCAUAAUUUUUCAUAUACUUAAAACAGAGGAUUGGCCUCUGAUACCCACACUGUUAGAAAAUUGUCGUACGGUAAAAACGCAGCGGAAAAAAAAAAAGAAUAAUCAAAUCAAAUUUGAUUUUUGAAACUCUCGAGAUCCAAUCUCAAAAAGCACCGCAAUUAGGAUCCCUGUCAUGUUUUAAGAUUACAGAAGAAAAAACAUAUAAAAUGAUCGAAUUCUUACCUUUUCGCGAGUAGAUCUUCCUUUAAAUUGAUGAUCGUGAAAUUCGUUCCUUGAACCGCACACGUGCGUCCGGCGUCUAUAGGUAUCACACACAGUUUCUGAUUUGAUCGAUGUCCUCACCGGGGUGCUAGCUCCCUUGGGCAAUAGGCACGUCUUUCUUGCUAGAAUAUGGAAGAGAAAAGAAAUCGAUAGAUGACGGACUAAGGGUUUCUCCGAAAACUCCCGUAUAUUAUAUAUAGGAAUAUAAUCCUAUUCCUAGAUAUUAUAAUGACAAUUAAGGAUAGUAUAAAUCCUAGAUUUAAAUUUACUCUUCCCUUAGAUUGGUUAGAUCGAUCAAUCCUAAUUAUUCGAUUGAAAUCUUUAAUAUAAUUUGAUGCUUAAAUUAAUAAUGCAAACAUUUGCACCAUAAGUCCUCUUGGAUAAUACUAACCAUUAGUAGUCCUCUCUGUAACAUUUAACACCUUAAUACCACUAAAUUUGUAAUCAAUACAAAUUAUCCAAUUACAUUAUAUUGGACAAUUAGGUCGCUCCGCGAUUCAAUAUCGCGAGUCUUAGCUAUUCGAGUCAAUUACAACCUCUAUGUGUGUGACCAAGGUCUAUUCUACUCUGGUAGUCGAGAUAUAUUUGAUCACUAUCACCAUAUCACGAACUGCCUUUAAUGGUUAAGAACAAUUCCAACUCAGCCCAAUAGACAUUAUCGAUCAUACAGAUAAUCUCAGACGUCUCACAUCCACCAGUGACAGCCUACCCACAUGUCAGUGGCAUUCCAGUAGGGAAUGGAAUAAUGAACCUCUUGUGCAUUAUCGGUGUGAUACAAUCCUUCUAAUCAAUGCAGUCCCGACUAGACGGAGGCUAUGGAAUAAUCGUCAACCCCCAUCGUCUGUCAUAUGUUAAAUAUUCGACAUCGAAGUUCUAAUAUCGAAACCCUUUCCGCUAAUUUAUUCUGGCCCUGGCCAAAAAGGUCUUCUAAACUCGGUCUCAUAAUCACUAGACUAACCGCCCUAUCUACAAGAGAUAGAUUCCAUCUAAGCUGGACAUCCUAUUUCCCGGCUGACAAUGGAACCUACUGUAAGCCAACAUGCACGCGCAAGGACCGCGAAUGGCUAGGACAAGUGUAUGUACAGUCAACUACAGUAACCAUUGUGAAUAGCCGAGGCACCUGCAGGUCAAAGGACCAGUCACACUACGCAAUACAAUUGAGUAAGCUGACCAGAUGUGAGUAGAAUACAUCAAGUGACGCUUUCCCGCGUUGGUCACGCGUCGCUACCUUGUUCUCUAACAACCACGCUGGAUAUUCGCUCUAGUGUCCCCACACAUGUCGACUCAUGAGCUCGUCUACACCAGAAAGGGAACGCGACCUAUCACGCAAUCUCACCGGAUCAAUCACCGUCCCCGUGAUGACAUUGAUCGGCCGAGCAUAUUAGAAAUUACCCCAAUCCGCACAUUCUCAAAUUUCUCAACACAUUGAGAUAUAUGUCAUCACUUAUUAAAUUCCUUGGACGAUUCAUGACCACAUACACAACAUGAAAAAAUAUAAACAGAAAGAUAUUCAUAAUAUUUAAAAGUCAAAUACAAAUUUAUGUCCUAGAAAGAAUAUAUGUGUCGGCCUGGUUGGCUUAUAGGGCAUACAUCUAACAGUUAUUACAUUCAUUCAUAUUCAUGCAUUUUACAUCUCAACUACUAUUCCUUUUUCAUCUAAAUGCAAUCUAAGUUAUUACAACAUUUAUAUCUUUAAUACAUUAUGUUACAUUGUGUUGUUUUUAUUUCUUUAACCCCUAAGCUAUGUCGACGGGGUACUGCUUGCUCUGGUCUCUGGGGUAGGGCGCCAUCUACGGAGCUACGCCCUUUCCUCGCGCCGCCGCGCCGCUCACGUGCGAACCUGUAAACACCCCAAAACAACGUGGGGUGAGAACCAAAUCCAUGGUUCCCAGUGGGUACGGCCACCCAAGGGAAAAGCUCGGCCAUCAGGUUCAAAGGAGGCAACUGUAGGUUAGUUUAAUAAACAGAUAGAUAGAUAUUUUGACUAUGCAAGUAAUAGAACCAUACCUUGUGUAGUAUCCUUAUAUAUAUAUAUAUAUAUAUAUAUAUAUAUAUAUAUGGAUGCUGCCACGUACCCCAUGCAUGCAUGCUUAUCCACUUCUCAGCUUGAGGGUGCUCUAAUUAAAAUUUGCUUUAUCUCUUUAAUGUGAAGUAGAGAGCCACACGAGGUGGAGCUCAGGGGAGUAGCCGCGGAGCUCGGAUUCAAUGUCGACGUCGCGCCGUAGAGCCGUUCGAGGAUACGGUUGCAGUCGUAGCAUCGUGAGGAGUUCGAGCGAGGGCGUGAUUUUCGCCGUCCUCGACGUCGCACCGGUGCUGGAUUCGCUGUCGAGGUGGGUACCUAACUUUCCUCCUUGGAUUACUUGAACGCACGGUUUUGAGCUCGCAUGCUGAUUUUCAGCGUCGACCGUCAGUGUUUCGGCUCGUACUCGGCGUAGGAACGUCGGAUUUCGACGGGACUUGGUUCAUUGGAUUCAGGACUUCGAGAGGAAUAAAAAUCCCAAAUCACUGGAAAAACGAGGGGUGUGCCAGCUCAAGUUCGAUCGCCUAACACAUCGCACCGAUAACUCAACUCAAAUUCUGUCCGAACACAGCAGGCAGAGGAGAACNNNNNNNNNNNNNNNNNNNNNNNNNNNNNNNNNNNNNNNNNNNNNNNNNNNNNNNNNNNNNNNNNNNNNNNNNNNNNNNNNNNNNNNNNNNNNNNNNNNNNNNNNNNNNNNNNNNNNNNNNNNNNNNNNNNNNNNNNNNNNNNNNNNNNNNNNNNNNNNNNNNNNNNNNNNNNNNNNNNNNNNNNNNNNNNNNNNNNNNNNNNNNNNNNNNNNNNNNNNNNNNNNNNNNNNNNNNNNNNNNNNNNNNNNNNNNNNNNNNNNNNNNNNNNNNNNNNNNNNNNNNNNNNNNNNNNNNNNNNNNNNNNNNNNNNNNNNNNNNNNNNNNNNNNNNNNNNNNNNNNNNNNNNNNNNNNNNNNNNNNNNNNNNNNNNNNNNNNNNNNNNNNNNNNNNNNNNNNNNNNNNNNNNNNNNNNNNNNNNNNNNNNNNNNNNNNNNNNNNNNNNNNNNNNNNNNNNNNNNNNNNNNNNNNNNNNNNNNNNNNNNNNNNNNNNNNNNNNNNNNNNNNNNNNNNNNNNNNNNNNNNNNNNNNNNNNNNNNNNNNNNNNNNNNNNNNNNNNNNNNNNNNNNNNNNNNNNNNNNNNNNNNNNNNNNNNNNNNNNNNNNNNNNNNNNNNNNNNNNNNNNNNNNNNNNNNNNNNNNNNNNNNNNNNNNNNNNNNNNNNNNNNNNNNNNNNNNNNNNNNNNNNNNNNNNNNNNNNNNNNNNNNNNNNNNNNNNNNNNNNNNNNNNNNNNNNNNNNNNNNNNNNNNNNNNNNNNNNNNNNNNNNNNNNNNNNNNNNNNNNNNNNNNNNNNNNNNNNNNNNNNNNNNNNNNNNNNNNNNNNNNNNNNNNNNNNNNNNNNNNNNNNNNNNNNNNNNNNNNNNNNNNNNNNNNNNNNNNNNNNNNNNNNNNNNNNNNNNNNNNNNNNNNNNNNNNNNNNNNNNNNNNNNNNNNNNNNNNNNNNNNNNNNNNNNNNNNNNNNNNNNNNNNNNNNNNNNNNNNNNNNNNNNNNNNNNNNNNNNNNNNNNNNNNNNNNNNNNNNNNNNNNNNNNNNNNNNNNNNNNNNNNNNNNNNNNNNNNNNNNUCUCUGGUUUUGCAGCCCACUCUGUUGGAUAGGAUCCGAGAGAAACAGAGUGGAGAUCCGUACCUGUUGGGGAUUCGAGAGCAGUUAGACAGGGGGCAGGCUGAGGGUUUUGCUGUGGACAGUUCGGGAGUACUACAGUACAGGGACCGGCUGUGUGUGCCUGUGGAUUCAGAGAUCCGAGAGGCUAUUUUGAGAGAGGCUCAUUGUUCACCUUAUAGGGUUCACCCUGGGGGAACCAAGAUGUAUAAGGAUUUAAAGGCACAGUUUUGGUGGAAUGGAAUGAAGAGAGACAUUGGCAGAAUUGUGGCUCAGUGUUUAACUUGCCAACAGGUGAAGGCCGAACAUCUGGUGCCUGCUGGCAAGCUUCAGAGUCUGCCAGUGCCCGAGUGGAAGUGGGAGCAGAUUACGAUGGAUUUCGUCAUGGGAUUACCUAGAGCACAGGGUGGCUUUGAUGCGAUUUGGGUAAUAGUGGACAGACUGACCAAAUCUGCUCACUUCUUACCGGUUCAGACCACCUGGUCCAGAGAGAGACUCGUGCAGCUAUAUCUGGAUGAGAUUGUUAGGCUGCAUGGCGUGCCAAUUUCGAUCGUAUCUGAUAGAGAUCCGAGAUUUGUAUCACAUUUCUAGAGGAGUCUUCAGACGGCCUUGGGCACUCAGUUGCAGUUCAGCACAGCAUUUCACCCACAGACUCUAGAGGACAUGCUGAGGGCAUGUGUCCUGGACUUUGGAAGAGGGUGGUAUCGGCAUUUUAGAUUGGUUGAGUUUGCGUACAACAACAGCUAUCAAGCGAGCAUUCAGAUGGCUUCGUUUGAGGCGUUGUAUGGACGCAGAUGUCGAUCCCCUUUGUGUUGGAGUGAUGUGGGUGAAAGGAAGACGCUAGGGCCUGAGAUUUUGCUAGAGGCUGAGGAAAAGGUGAGAGUUGUUCGACGACACCUUUUGACAGCCCAGAGCCGCCAGAGGAGCUACGCUGAUACCAGGAGACGAGACUUGGAGUUCCAGGUUGGAGAUCAUGUUUUUCUUAAAGUCUCGCUUUCCAGAGGGAUUCACCAAUUUGGAGUGCGUGGAAAGCUCAGUCCACGUUUCGUUGGCCCUUUUGAGGUAUUGGAGCGAGUUGGACCAGUUGCUUACCGGAUUGCUCUACCACCCCGACUAGCUGGGAUUCAUGAUGUGUUCCACGUCUCGGCGUUGAGGAGAUAUGUUUUCAAUCCUUCUCACGUGAUCGACUUCACUCCACUAGAGAUUGGCGAGGAUCUGAGAUACGAGGAGCGACCGGUGCAGAUUCUUGCUCGAGAGACGAAAGAGUUGCGCAACUGGAUCAUUCCGUAUGUGAAAGUGCAGUGGAACAAUCACGAGGAGCGGGAGGCGACUUGGGAGCCUGAGACAGUGAUGAGGGAGUCUUACCCAAACAUGUUUGAUUCUUAGAGUUGAGGUAUGUGCUAAGUUUUGAGGACGAAACUUUUUGUAGUGGGGGAGCAUGUAGUAUCCUUAUAUAUAUAUAUAUAUAUAUAUGGAUGCUGCCACGUACCCCAUGCAUGCAUGCUUAUCUACUUCUUAGCUUGAGGGUGCUCUAAUUAAAAUUUGCUUUAUCUCUUUAAUGUGAAGUAGAGAGCCACACGAGGUGGAGCUCAGGGGAGUAGCCGCGGAGCUCGGAUUCGAUGUCGACGUCGCGCCGUGGAGCCGUUCGAGGAUACGGUUGCAGUCGUAGCAUCGUGAGGAGUUCGAGCGAGGGCAUGGUUUUCGCCGUCCUCGACGUCGCACCGGCGCUGGAUUCGCUGUCGAGGUGGGUACCUAACUUUCCUCCUUGGAUUACUUGAACGCACGGUUUUGAGCUCGCGUGCUGAUUUUCAGCGUCGACCGUCAGUGUUUCGGCUCGUACUCGGCGUAGGAACGUCGGAUUUCGACGGGACUUGGUUCAUUGGAUUCAGGACUUCGAGAGGAAUCCACGAAGCCCUUAUUUGCUGGAUUUGUUGAAGGUUACCUGGGUCGAAAUUAUGUUCUCCUCUGCUGCUGUGUUUCGGACAGAAUUUGAGUUGGAGUUCUUCGUUGCGAUGUGUGCAGGGCGAUUUCGAACUUGAGCUGGACACCCUGGUUUUUUCAGUGGAUUUGGGGAUUUUUGGUGACCUCCUCGCUGCCGGGGUUUAGCGAUCGAGGUGGGUUACAUCGAUUUUUACUCCUAAGUUCUAAUCGUCAACAUGUAUAAAUCUCGAUUUUUAGUAUAGUCUAUUCUAGCUCGAAUUCAUGGAUUAUGUUAUAGAUUGCAAAUCUGAAUUUGGAGCAUGUGGUAAUAAAUUGAGUAGUAUAUGCAUGUUGGACUUGGAAUUUGAAUUAGGAGAAAACCUGCGAUUUGGACCUGUCACUUGUUUAAACUGCCUGAUUUAGCUCUAGGAGCCGUUAUAAAAUUGUACUGUCGCAGUAUCCUUGAGACGAGUACUCCAAGUAGUUUAGCAUACAUUUACACUCGUGCUGGUACGCCGAGUGAAUUUUUACAGGGUCGUUUGGACUGUUCCGAACUGUUGGGUGCCGUCGGGAUUGACGGUGGACCCGGAUCGUCUUUUUGGCGACAGAUUGUGCCGAGGGCACGUGAACUAUUGGUUGUUAGACCAGUUAGAGUCGAUUACUUGACUUUGGCUUUUCAGAGUCUGUUUGAGCUUGACAGAGAUACGCUGCAUACUCGGUUGGGUAGCGCCCACGAGUGCCACUCCGGAGACGGGCUUUGUGCUUUCGCGUUGGUGUUGCUCAUGCCGGUUGGACUUGCUCUCCACGGACCAGUUAGUGUGGAGGUAGCUGGAUAGUCGCAACUGGGCAGGGACGGGUGUAUUCACAGUCCCCGGGACGUGUAUGUUUACAGUCCCGAUUGGAUUGGGUCAGUUUUGACAUUCCUACAGUUGGUUAGCAUAGAGCAGGUUGGUGUAGUGACUAGUAGCUGUAGAGUUCAUUCCAGCAUUUUACUUUUACCAUUGCUCCCUUCUGUAGACUUAGUGGGCGGACCGAUAUUGUUUUGGGCGGCACCCACUGAGGACUACCUGUUUUUACAGUAGUUCUCACGCCCUGUUGUUACCCCCUGUUUUUGCAGAGCCAUCGUCGUCGGCUGCUGCUGUCGCAGAUCAGGAUCGAGGCAAGGGCGUCGCGAGUUAGAGCCCUACCAGACAUGCAGAGCUAGAGGUGCCCCUAGUGCAGGUAGAUGUUUUGUUUUGAGUUCAUGUACAUAGUAUACUUAACUCGCCAGUGCGAGUAGCUCUGUAUUUUUGGUUAUUGGACUAUGUAUAUGGAACUUCGUUUGUUUAACUUCUGUUUACUCUAGUAGCUCUAUACUACUGUUUGUAGUAUUGUACGGUUUAUAGGUACAGCUGUCGCUUCGUAUACAGGAGAAAUUCCUUUCUAUACGGCGAAUUUGUCGGCGUGCCCGGGGAACGUGUAAUCCGGGGCAUGACAGGCCGCGCAUGACCUUGCUAGUACUGUACAGCUAUGGGUCCAUAUUCAAACAUAACAAGAUUACUAUCAGUAGUAAUUCGUUGAUUCUAUUCUUCUCCGCUAUCUGGCUGUGCGCCCGCGGCUCUCGCGUUCAGAACCAAACUACUAAGGUUUGCUAAUCUACCCUACUUCAAGCCUAGCCACGCGGCGACUCGCCUGAGUCCAAUCAAUGCUGCGGAUCAGCCACUUCGCCAACUGUCCGGCCUCAAGGGGAAGACUCCGGUCUACUCUACAGCUCAUCCGCCUCAGUCACCCCCCCCUGCCUUCAUCCACAAACAUCUGCAACGGGUCGCCCCAGAGCUGCGUAAAUACACCGGUCAGGGAUCUUUUCCGGUGGAGGGAUUUCAUGCCACAUACCUCAACGGAGCCCCAGCUGAAAACCGGAUCAGGGAAGGUGAACAUACCACACUCAACCCUAGCGAAGCACGAUUCUGCCGGCGGGAAGGGGAACCUGCCGCACUCGACCCGCGGCCUCGAAUCAGCCUUAAGCUCAUCCUCGAAGUUCAUCCAGUGGGAGGGGAACAUUGCCAACUACCCCCACGGCUUUAGAACUAUCGAGUUUACAAUCCUAAGAUUUCGGAAUCGACUUUCCAAGUCUCUAGGGUAAUCUCAAACCCUAUGAUAUCGACCUAUCUAGGUCCAAUGCACUUUCUAUCCUAGGUCUACCCGACUCUAGGUUUAACACCCUUAUCACAUAACCAAUAUUCUUUAAACUAGGUUAAUACCUCUCUACCUAGAUUUUUAUUAACUCUAGGUUCAACAACACUAGGAUCAAUGUCAACCUAUGUUCAUGACACUAGGUUAAUGCCACUCGAUCUAGCCUAGGUUCACGACACUAGGUUCAACAUCAAUCUUAUUCAUCCUAGGUUCUCAAUCCUAGGUUCAUAUUCGACCUAUGUUAUUACACUAGGUUCGGUGCCACUCGAUCUAGUUGUCCCUAAUUGUCCACAGCGAGUUUCUAUAAUUACAUAACCUCAUGCACAUGCUCACAUUGCUAAUAUGCAUUUUGUCUAUCAACAUGCAAUCAAGUAUCUUACUUAGCAUCUCUACAUUAUGUCAUCAUCUAGUAUAUAGUUCCGAUGCAUUAAUAUGCAAUCACUACUAGCAUGCAUUACAUAAUGCUAACAUGUAUAUACAUUUAACAAUUUCUCAUUAUGUCAUGUUAGAUCUACAACAUGUUAUCAUUUACUUGCUCUAUUAUGAAUCGACAUGAAACUAGCACUUGCAUAUAAUUCCAAUGCAUCAACAUGCCAUUAGCAACUAGCAUAAUUAACUAUCAUCUAGUACAUGCAUCUUAACCAACAUGCUCACAUAAUGUUACAUGCACCUAGCAUAUAUUCCAUGAUGCCCUUAGCACACUUCUAACCAUGCAUAUGUAUAUCAACAUGCACAUUCUAUUUAUAUGCUUUAACUCAUAUACAAUACCAUUAUACUUGUACAUAUGCAUCAACAUGAAUUUCAUGUUUACUUUGACAUGAAGGCGACUUAGUCGCUUCGGUAAGCACAAUCCACCUCAAAAUGCUUUCCGAUUGCUUGUCGACACUUGCAAUCGGCCGCCCGCGGCACCCGGCAUCCAGUUUGGCCCGAUCUCUCGCGCGACCACCCAAACGGUCUCCAAUCCGUUUUCAUGAGUUUACGAUGUCGCCUCGGCCCUCCAGGCGGAAAUGAAGCCUAAACGUCCGUUUCUUUAAUAACUUCGCACCGGCUCGACGAAUCGCCGAACCGACUUCCCCGGCGCGUUCGUUUACCUAGCAAUUAGGUUUAUAUAGGUUCAAUUUAGAUCAAACCAUCAUAUUUCCAAAAAUUGUAUUUUGAACCCUAGGUUUACUACUAGGUAAAAACCCACAUUAGAGCCUUGGUUUCAAGCAUCAAACCUCUAAUUAGCAUGCUAGAAUACCUCUAAACCCAUUCUUAGAGCUUAAAAACCAAACUAGAGAGAAGUGCCAUUAAAGGGUUUUGAAGCUUACCUUCAAAGCUUGCUCUCCAAUGGCUAAAGAGGAAGAUGAAGAAGAUGACUUUCCUCCAAGCUUCCUUCUCCACCAAAACCCUCUCUUUUGGGAGAGAAUUUAGAGAGAGAUAAGGGAGGGUUCUCUUUCUCCUCUCCUUGUGUGUGUGCGUGUGUGGCGUGCGGGUGUGUGGGGGCUGCACGGCUGAGGGUGGAAGAAGAGCAAUGCUCUUUUACAAUAUAGCCCCUCAACAAUUACACUAUUCACUCCAGGCAGUUUAGCAGUUCGGAACAGUUGGAGCCCUUCUGAAUGCCCGUUUGAGCUCAAAUUUGACAGACAGGCUCGAUUUAACGUACUGAGUAAGAAUAUAUCUUAAGUUUUCAGUUUUGAUCCCGUUUGGUCACUGAAAAUUGUACCGAACUGUAAUCUUUAUCAGAUAACUAUCGGAUUUUAUUUCUCACUCUACGGGUGUCAGAAAAAUAUGAAACCUUAAAUCUAGCCUCAUAAAAAUAUUUCUGACUUAUCCUCCAAUUUUCAUAAUUUUUUGAGACUGUGCAUUUUCUGCUAAUUUAUCGGUUCCGUUUCCAACAGAAAAUUCUAAAUCUUCUNUGUUUCGGGCAGAGGCCUCACCGUGAGCACCCGCGAUGGGUUGGCUCAUACGUCGCAUAGAGACAGUUCGAGUUUGUCUGAGACUUUUCGGUUUCAGUUCAUUAGCUGAGAUUGACCAGAUUGUUGGUUAUCAAGUGCACGGGAGCCGUGUUAGACAGCGGUUUUUCUGCUAGGCCCAGGUGGCAGUUGGGACUGCCGUGGGUUGUCAGGCCUUGUUGGACUUGCUGGGACAUUUUUUAGGUGAGCCGUGUGGUCGUGCUCGCAUUUAUAUAAGAUUUGAUAGACUUUAUAGGUGGUGUGGCUAUGACGCUGCUAUGUUAGCUUGGUGCCGAGGAUCUCGAUUUAGUCCGUCAAAUUUGUUCACUGUCCAGGUUUAGCGUCCAAAAUAGGAUUUAGUUUAAGGUUCAGGUUGUACGUAUUUGAUGAGUUAAAUAAUGGUGUACGAGGUGGUGUAUUCACAGUCCCCGGGACGGGUAUGUUUACAGUCCCGAUUGGAUUGGGUCAGUUUUGACAUUUCCUACAGUUGGUUAGCAUAGAGCAGGAUGGUGUAGUGACUAGUAGCUGUAGAGUUCAUUCCAGCAUUUUACUUUUACCAUUGCUCCCUUCUGUAGACUUAGUGGGUGGACCGAUAUUGUUUUGGGCGGCACCCACUGAGGACUACCUGUUUUUACAGUAGUUCUCACACCCUGUUGUUACCCCCUGUUUUUGCAGAGUCAUCGUCGUCGGCUGCUGCUGUCGCAGAUCAGGAUCGAGGCAAGGGCGUCGCGAGUUAGAGCCCUACCAGACGUGCAGAGUUAGAGGUGCCCCUACUGCAGGUAGAUGUUUUGUUUUGAGUUCAUGUACAUAGUAUACUUAACUCGCCAGUGCGAGUAGCUCUGUAUUUUUGGUUAUUGGACUAUAUAUAUGGAACUCCGUUUGUUUAGCUUCUGUUUACUCUAGUAGCUCUAUACUACUGUUGUAGUAUUGUACGGUUUACAGGUAUAGCUGUCGCUUCGUAUACAGGAGAAAUUCCUUUCUAUACGGCGAAUUUGUCGGCGUGCCCGGGGAACAUGUAAUCCGGGGCGUGACACCUUGCCUCGUAACUGUAACAAUGCUAUGCAAUAUGCAACUCAUACAAGAAUGUACUAUCAUAAGUAAAUCUCUUGAUUCUACUUCUAUCUCGCUAUCUCGCUCAGAUCCAACUAGCCUCUAAGGUUUCUAUCUACCUUAUUCAAGCUAGCCACCCGACUCGGCCUCGAGUCAAUCAACUGCGGAUAGUCCGCACUCUGUCCGGCUCAAGGUGAAGGACCUCUCACUUACACCUCAUCCUUCAGUCCACGCCUUCAGUCCACAAACAUCUCGCCAACGGGUCGCCCAGAGCUGCGUACACCCGUGGUCAGGGAUCUUUCCGGUGGGAAGGGGAUUAUGCCACAUACUCAACCCGCAGCCGAAAACCCCCGAUAGGGAAGGUGAACAUACCACACUCAACCCUAGCGAUGCACGAUUCUGCCGGCGGGAAGGGGAACCUGCCGCACUCGACCCGCGGCCUCGAAUCAGCCUUAAGCUCAUCCUCGAAGUUCAUCCAGUGGGAGGGGAACAUUGCCAACUACCCCCACGGCUUUAGAACUAUCGAGUUUACAAUCCUAAGAUUCAAUUUGGAUCUCAGCCCAUCUGGAUCCUAUCUUUCACGUAACCUGGAUCUAUCCAGCUAUAGUAUCCCAAACUCUAAUGGGAUCUCUGAACCUUUCAGCUAAGGCUNNNNNNNNNNNNNNNNNNNNNNNNNNNNNNNNNNNNNNNNNNNNNNNNNNNNNNNNNNNNNNNNNNNNNNNNNNNNNNNNNNNNNNNNNNNNNNNNNNNNNNNNNNNNNNNNNNNNNNNNNNNNNNNNNNNNNNNNNNNNNNNNNNNNNNNNNNNNNNNNNNNNNNNNNNNNNNNNNNNNNNNNNNNNNNNNNNNNNNNNNNNNNNNNNNNNNNNNNNNNNNNNNNNNNNNNNNNNNNNNNNNNNNNNNNNNNNNNNNNNNNNNNNNNNNNNNNNNNNNNNNNNNNNNNNNNNNNNNNNNNNNNNNNNNNNNNNNNNNNNNNNNNNNNNNNNNNNNNNNNNNNNNNNNNNNNNNNNNNNNNNNNNNNNNNNNNNNNNNNNNNNNNNNNNNNNNNNNNNNNNNNNNNNNNNNNNNNNNNNNNNNNNNNNNNNNNNNNNNNNNNNNNNNNNNNNNNNNNNNNNNNNNNNNNNNNNNNNNNNNNNNNNNNNNNNNNNNNNNNNNNNNNNNNNNNNNNNNNNNNNNNNNNNNNNNNNNNNNNNNNNNNNNNNNNNNNNNNNNNNNNNNNNNNNNNNNNNNNNNNNNNNNNNNNNNNNNNNNNNNNNNNNNNNNNNNNNNNNNNNNNNNNNNNNNNNNNNNNNNNNNNNNNNNNNNNNNNNNNNNNNNNNNNNNNNNNNNNNNNNNNNNNNNNNNNNNNNNNNNNNNNNNNNNNNNNNNNNNNNNNNNNNNNNNNNNNNNNNNNNNNNNNNNNNNNNNNNNNNNNNNNNNNNNNNNNNNNNNNNNNNNNNNNNNNNNNNNNNNNNNNNNNNNNNCAUUAGAGCCUUGGUUUCAAGCAUCAAACCUCUAAUUAGCAUGCUAGAAUACCUCUAAACCCAUUCUUAGAGCUUAAAAACCAAACUAGAGAGAAGUGCCAUUAAAGGGUUUUGAAGCUUACCUUCAAAGCUUGCUCUCCAAUGGCUAAAGAGGAAGAUGAAGAAGAUGACUUUCCUCCAAGCUUCCUUCUCCACCAAAACCCUCUCUUUUGGGAGAGAAUUUAGAGAGAGAUAAGGGAGGGUUCUCUUUCUCCUCUCCUUGUGUGUGUGCGUGUGUGGCGUGCGGGUGUGUGGGGGCUGCACGGCUGAGGGUGGAAGAAGAGCAAUGCUCUUUUACAAUAUAGCCCCUCAACAAUUACACUAUUCACUCCAGGCAGUUUAGCAGUUCGGAACAGUUGGAGCCCUUCUGAAUGCCCGUUUGAGCUCAAAUUUGACAGACAGGCUCGAUUUAACGUACUGAGUAAGAAUAUAUCUUAAGUUUUCAGUUUUGAUCCCGUUUGGUCACUGAAAAUUGUACCGAACUGUAAUCUUUAUCAGAUAACUAUCGGAUUUUAUUUCUCACUCUACGGGUGUCAGAAAAAUAUGAAACCUUAAAUCUAGCCUCAUAAAAAUAUUUCUGACUUAUCCUCCAAUUUUCAUAAUUUUUUGAGACUGUGCAUUUUCUGCUAAUUUAUCGGUUCCGUUUCCAACAGAAAAUUCUAAAUCUUCUGUUUUCAUUCCGAUUUUAGCACAAGUCAUUUCUGACUUAUGUUUUACUUCUCUAAAUCCAAUAAAAAUAGCUUCUCACACUAUUUUUAUUUAUUUUUAUUUUUAUACCAAAAUCUGGUAUGUUACAGAAAGGGAAGGUUUCUCUCUCCCUCUCCAUGCGUGUGUGUUGGUGUGUGUGUGUUGCUCGGUUGAAGGAGAAGAAGAAGAAGACAACUCCUUUAUAUAGUCAACACCCCAAAACACUAUUACAACCAACGGUUUAGCUUUCAGAAUCUGAUACUUUUCGCCGGAGCCCUUCUGCAUAUCCAUUUGCACUCAAAUUUGAUAGUCAGGCUCGGUUUUCCUUAAUAAGAAAGAAAAUAUCUUAAGUUUUCAGUUUCGACCAUUUUUGGUCAUCGAAAGCUCUAUCGAACUAAAAUCUCUAUCAGAUAGCAGUUGGAUUUUAUUUUCCACUUUCUGGGUGUCAGAAUGAUAUGAAACUUUAAAUCUAGCCUCAUAAAAAUAACCUUGACAUAUUGCCAGAUUUUCGUAAUUUUCUGACACUCUGAAUUUUCUGCUAAAAAUAUCAGCCCCACUUCUUACAGAAAAUUCUAGAUCUCCUGUUUUCAUUCCGAUUUCAGUACAAGUCAUUCCAGACUUACAUUUUACUUCGUUAAGUCCAAUAAAAAUAGUAUCUCACACUAUUUUUAUUUACACUUACUUUUAUAUUAAAACUCGGUACAUUACAAUCUUGGUGUGCAAAGAAACAACCUAUCGUAUCUCGUUCUAGUACGUAAACUGAAUAUCGCUCUCUCGCCCACACUACUGCCGAGCUUUCUUGGGUAUGGUUGCUUUUUAAAGAUCUUCAUAUAUUUCUACAUUCUAAACCAGCUAUUUAUUGUGACAAUAUUAGUGCUAUUCGACUUGCCUAUAAUCCUAUCUUUCAUACUCGAACUAAACACAUAGAAGUUGAUUAUCAUUUUGUACGAGAAAAGGUUGUUCGACAAGAUCUCGACGUUCACUAUGUAGUGUCACAAGAUCAAAUUGCUGAUAUCUUUACAAAAGGGCUAUCUUCUCAUCGAUUCAAUUUUCUCAAGGACAAGGUAAUGGUGCGUGCACCUCCCAUAAGCUUGAGGGGGCGUAAUGGAGGAUCAAGUGACGAUACAAUUAAAGAAUUAAUUAUGGGUGAAUCAAAUUUCCAAAAUCAGGAAUCUACCAACUAUGACAAGUAUUCAAAUCAUAAGCAAUUGUGGAAACUCAAGAAUGACAAUCUCUCAAAUAUGACAAACACUCCAAAUAGAAAAUAUUCGGAUUCAAAUAUUGUACAUUUCUAGAAUGUAAUUAUUGUAAUACCAAGAAUAAUGGGAUUAUAUUUUGUAUUCAAUAAUUCUAUAUAUUGAGAGUUUGUUUUGUAUGUUCUCUAUUGAGGACAACAACCAUUUUUCCACCAAUUAUAAUUUUCUUUAAAAAUGAUCAAAUUGCCCCUCACAAUCUUCGUUUUCUCCCGAAUCUUGUUCAACCAUCGUCUUUGUAAUAUAUCGAACUUCUACAAUUAUGAAGUUUUGGUAGGAACUAACUUAAAAAACUAUUAAAAUAGUUUCAGCGAAGUUUGAAGAGUAUUCGAGUGUUUGCAAACCAGACGCGAAAACGGGCUCCAAAAGCUGAAAUCUGCAUGUGUUGCAGAUUUUGUAUUGUGUAUCGGUACUGGAAUCUGAGUACCAAUACGCAGUACAAAAUGAGAAAAAUGAGCUCUCGGAUUUUGAGGAACCAAAGUUGGGUACCGAUACUAGAUUUGUAUUGGGUAUCGGUGCUGGAAACCGAGUACCGGUACGCAGUAGAAAUUGAGAAUCCAACUUUCGAGUUUUGAGGUAAUGAAAACUGGGUACCGGUACUGGAUGCUCGAGUACCGGUACCGGUACCGGUACUGGAUGCUCGGUAUAGAAAAUAUUCGGAUUCAAAUAUUGUACAUUUCUAGAAUGUAAUUAUUGUAAUCCCAAGAAUAAUGGGAUUAUAUUUUGUAUUCAAUAAUUCUAUAUAUUGAGAGUUGGUUUUGUAUGUUCUCUAUUGAGGACAACAACCAUUUUUCCACCAAUUAUAAUUUCCUUUAAAAAUGAUCAAAUUGCUCCUCACAAUCUUCGUCUUCUCCCCAAUCUUGUUCAGCCAUCGUCUUUGUAAUAUACCGAACUUCUACAAUUAUGAAAUUUUGGUAGGAACUAACUUAAAAAACUAUUAAAAUAGUUUCAGCGAAGUUUGAAGAGUAUUCGAGUGUUUGCAAACCAGACGCGAAAACGGGCUCCAAAAGCUGAAAUCUGCAUGUGUUGCAGAUUUUGUAUUGAGUACCGGUACUGGAAUCUGAGUACCGAUACGCAGUACAAAAUGAGAAAAAUGAGCUCUCGGAUUUUGAGGAACCAAAGUUGGGUACCGAUACUAGAUUUGUAUUGGGUAUCGGUACUGGAAACCGAGUAUCGGUACGCAGUAGAAAAUUGAGAAUCCAACUUUCGAGUUUUGAGGUAUUGAAAACUGGGUACCGGUACUGGUUGCUCGAGUACCGGUACGCCAACCCGAGUACCGGUACUCAGCUCUACAGAAUGCUAUUUUUGAAGGGUAAUUUGGUAAUUUCGGUUGGGGGCCUAUAUAAGGGAACCCUUCUCCCCUUUCUCUGCAGAAAACACACACAUGCACAUUGUGAGGGAGAGAGGAGCUCAUCUCUCUUACUCUUUUCUUCUUUUUCUCCAUCUUGGAGAUCUUGGUGGAGAUUGAACUUGCGAAGCUCGGAGGAGCGGUGAAUCAAGCUCUCGGGCGCUUGGUGGCUCGGAGUGCUUUCGACUCGAGGUGAGUUUUGGGGUUUUAAGCUAGGGUUUUGGGUUUAAACCUUCUAAACAAAUUUCUAUCAAAUCCUAGACUAAUCUAGGCUACAAAUUGUAGAGAUUAGCAAAUAGAAUUUGGUUUUGCUGUGAAGUUUGGAAAACCCUAGGUUGAAAGAGGGGUUUGCUUGUGGAGGAUUAUAAAAAUAUUUUAACCCUUUAAAACUCUAAUUGAGGAUUAGGAAAUCAAGUGGGGCAACUUGAUUUCAAAAGAAAAAAUCAUUUAAUGGUUCGAAAAUGGUAAUGAAUGCAUCUCUUGUAUAGAGAAAGGAAAGCUUGGGAUCAAGCUUGGAGAUCCAAGAGGUUGGCCUAAUUGCAAGUGUCUACAAGCAAUUAGGAAGCUUUGUAAGGUUGGUCGUGCUUCACCGAAGUAAUUAGGUCACUUCCAUGCCAAAGAGUGAAGUAUGGUAUUGUUUAUUGAUGCAUGCAUGUAAUGGUAGAUUAAUUGGUAAACGUAGUGUACGAAUUAUAUGUUGCUAGAUUAAACUAUCUACCAUUGGACAAGAAUAUAAGCAUGUGGAACAUAUAGGAUAUAUAUAUAUGCCUAGGUAUGGACAUUGAACAUAGGUCGAUGAACUCUAGAAAAAUUAGAGAACUCAACAAAUGUGAAAUCAAGGACUAGAUGCCAUGAAAUUAUGAGUCCUAGGUGUGGACAAUCAAGAUAAGAAAGAACAUGAUUGAGUAUGGAAUUUAGUGUCAUUGAACAUAGGUUGGAAAAUAUAGUGGUAGGAAGACCACUUGUAUUGGAAAGUAAUUGAACCUAAAGUCAAGUGAACUUACGUGGGAAGGACAUAGGACCUAGUGUUACUGAACCUAGGUUAUGAGGCAUAGUGGUAGGAUGACCACUUGGACAUGAGAAUAUAAACCUAGAGAGGUUGACUUGGAAACGGAUGGAUGUGCACAUCUGGUGAUCUUGGUGAUCUUGGUAUCAAAGCUUUGGCAUGUACAACGAUUCCACCGUCGGGCUUGAUACCAAGGGGUGCGGCGAUUUCGCCACCCAGUGACUUAAUGUGAGGACUGAGAGUUUGCUGUAAUAUAUCGAAAUUUCGGUAGGUUAUAUCGAACUUCAAUCAAAUUGACCAAAGUAUUGUUCCGAAUGCUUCGGAGUGCUUGGUAUAGGGUGUAGAGACCUUAGAGAACAUGUUGGAAAAUUUUCAGCUCAAAAUAUGCACAAAAUGCUCUCGGGGUCCGUAUCCUGUGCAAGGUCCGAACCCCGUACCCGCAAAUUCGUGGGUUGGUCCAAAUCUGUGUUUUGGAGAGGGGCCUAAGUGUAAUUAUGUGAGGGGAAUGUUAUAUGAGGGUUCUACACCCUUCUCCUCUCAUUCCGGCCUUUCAGACUAAAAGAGAAAAGAACUCUCUCUCUCUCUAGAGCUUCUCACCUCUCUCUCUCUCCUUUCUCUCAUUAUCUUACUAGGGUUUGGUCCAAGAAAGGGCUUUGGUGGAGAAGAAGACUUCUUGGAGGGUGGAGUUAGCACUUGUGCAAGAGGUGGAGGAAAGAGCUUGAACUCAGGGUGAGUUCUUAUGGUAUUUAGCUAGGGUUUUGAGUUAAUUACUUCUAGUAGCUGUGUUUAAAGGCUACUAUGAUAGAAUUGUUCAUGAGUUUUCAUGAAUUAGUGAGUAAUUGGCAAUUGUUGGAAACCCUAGGGUCAAAUUAGGGUUUUGCUAAAUGACAGAUUUAACUAGGGUUUGAUCUCUUGUAGCCUUAAUUAGCGGAUAAUCUGACGCGUUGGGAGAUUCGGUUCGAAGAUCCGACGAGUCUAUGUCAAGAAAACAACGAAAAACCUCAUUUCGGCUUCAUUUGCCGAGGGUCGAGGGCGAUUGGCGUGCAUAAAUUCUGGAAUUGGGAUUCUAGCACCUUAGCGACCCUACGAGGUGGGUGGUGCUAUCCGAAGUCAUCGAAUCUCUUUUUAUGUCUAACUGUCACUUAUUGAGCAUGUAUGUGUAUAUAGGUUUUAUGCAUUGUAGGGUUAAAAUGAAAAUAUGUUGAUAUAUUGCUUGCAUGCUUUUAGUGUAAAAGAUGCAUAUGAGUUAUUAAUGAGCUACUGAAUAAGUGUGAACCCUAUAGAUGUAUGAAUUGUGACAUGAACCUAGUUGAGGCAAAGAACAUAGUGACAUUAUGACAUGUGAGUAAAAUAGCACCUUGUGGCACUAGCAAGUGUGCUGAAUGCUAGAAUAGAACUUAUAGUGAGUUGUGACAUUGUGAACAUGGCAUCCUUAUAGUUAAGGAUUGAAUUGAGCAUGGCAUCCUCAGAGUUGUGGAUUGGAUCAUACUCACCUAUAAGUCUUGGCUUAAGGGCGGUCACUCUCCCUCGAGUGAUGAGCUCCGGAGUAGUCAUCACUGGGUCGUAGCGAGUAUCUCCCCAGAGAACGGUCCCAUCGGGUUGUAGCGAGUAUCUCCCUAAUAGCAGGGAUUUGAGUUGGUGAGUUUUAUUUUUGGUGGCGAAACCUACGGGUUAGCCAAGAGGAUUGGGUAUUGGAAAUGGAAUCGGCAUGCAUCAUGAGCAUCUUUUAUUGAUAGUAUUUUGUUCAGACAUAAUAGCUGCAUUUGUUAGCAUGGUUAUCUAUCUAUCUGCUUUAUUCUUCUACUUAUGCCUGAUUAGACCUAGUGGGAAAGUCGGCGGGGUCGGCGGCCGAACCCACUGGAAACUUUGUUAUAGUUCUCACCCCACUAUUUUCUACAGAGCCGGGGCCGAGUGAGCCGAUCGAGGAUCUCGGUAAGGGUAUCGCGCCUUAGACAGUGACCACCUGAGUAUAGUUCAUGCCUGUUAUUAUCAUCUUUUGUAUGUAAUGAUGAGAGUUGUAUAAAUGAUGUAUAAAUGUAAAAGACUUAUAUUUUGGAGAUGUAUAUGAUCUUGUGAUGUAAAAAGAGAAAGAAAAAGAAUGAGUGUACCUUGUAGUAUGCUUGUAUAUGGUUAAAAGAAAUCAUGAUACCUGUAUGUAUAUGAUGUAGAGUAGAACUUUCACUUUGGUUGUUGCUUGCCUUCGUGCAAGCCAUGUAAAUUUAUGUCUUCUUCUUGCGCAAAAAUUUAUAUACAUGUUGAUAUCGUGUUGAGCCUUGAGCGGACAGGGGAGGUGUUGUCCGUUCGGCGUCUGUUGACAUGCCCGAACCGACCAAAUAGGCGUGCUCGGGGCGUGACAUUUGCUGUGCAGAUAAAAUCUUUGUUAACGAUGUUUUUGUGUGUAUUUAAUUACAUAAGCACUCAUCAUGUUUCAGAAGAAAACAAGUUAGGAUGGAGAAGUUACGCGACUCUUACUGAUCACUUAAGGUGAAUAGUAACUCAAGUUUUCUGGAGAGGCCAAUCAGUGGAGAUGACUUCUGGUGCAUAUUGGACUCCGUUCAUAGUGAUCCAAUAGCUCCUUUUCGACGGUUCGACUAUCUUGGACCUAAUGGCAUUGACGGAUUUGGGUUCUGAUACAUUGUUUUCGAGAAAAAAGGGAUUUUAUCGCAAAAAGGAAUUUUUGGUAAUUGGAGAGUGGAUGGGUUUCGCCGCAAAUCGACGACCAUAUCGGGCAAAACAAAAUUGUGAAUUUGAUGUCCCAGUCGUGCUGAACGUGCUGGCGUGAUCGAUCGAAAAUCCGAUAGAUGGAUCUCCAGGAAUCUCAAAAAAUUCACAAAAAGCCCCAUAUUUUAUAUACCGUUUUUCUUGAUUUCGAACGUCGAGGUGCGUAUGCGCAAAACACACAUGCUAUGAGGGACUAACUGAAAAUAUUCAGCUUUGGAGAACUUUUUUGCAAAAACUACACCUUAUAUAUAUAUAUAUAUAUAUAUAUAUAUAUAUAUAUAUAUAUAUAUAUAUAUAUAUAUAUAUAUAUAUAUAUAUAUAUAUAUAUAUAUAUAUAGGUAACGGGUUUCAUGCAUGAAACCCUAACCUUAGUCGAUUAGCUCCUCCAAUUGCGCCCCCAGCAGCCUCCACCACCUCCCAUGUCACGCCCCGAGCCCGCCUCUUUGGUCGGAUUCGGGCACGCCAACAGACCGCCGAACGGACAGGGUUUCCCCUGUACGUCCAAGGCGUCACAAUCCAUACAAAGCACGAGGUUCCAACCAAGAAUAGUAUUCAAACAAGGAUUGCAUAAGGAAGUAUCAAAAACAUAAAUACAACUAUACUAUUACAAGCAUGCAUCUCAAAUUUUUUACAUAUUACAUGCAUCUUACAUUUUAGUCUUCCAAAUACAAUCCAAAUUAUUACAAAUUAUUACAAUCUUAUUCUUUUCAUUUCCUUACAGCCCUAAGUAGCUGACUUAGGGUACCGCUAUCUCUGGUCUCGGUGGUAGGGUGCUAACUACGGUGCUACGCCCUCGCCUCGCGCCGCUCACGUGUGAACCUGUACCCCCAAAAACAACACGGGGGUGAGAACUAUUGUCCAUAAUUCCCAGUGGGUACUGCCACUCAAGGAAAAAGCUCGACCCACCAGGUCCAGGCACUGCAAACAUAUUAGUUCAAUAGAUAUCCACAGAUAAUAUUUAUGCAAAUAUUAAAUACAUGUUUAUGCCUCAAGACAUGCAAUAUGUAAUGUAAAUCAUGCAAUCAACUAAGUAGAUCAUCCGAUACUACUCUAUAUCUCGCUAUCCAUAGCUUUUCCAUAAUUUAUACAUCUUAUUAUUUUACAUCAUUCGUUAUUUGCUCCUAAGAUUUUUCUCUACCUUAGCGAAGCUAACCACCCGACUCGGCCUUGAGUCAAUCAUCUGCGAAAUACCGCAUACAACCAGGCUCGAGGUGAUGGACGUCUCACAUACACCUCAGCCUUAAAUCCACUCGAUAGGGAUACCAAAUCCAUAGCUCAUAAUGCAUGCUUUUUCACUUUCAUUUUGACUUUUACCCAAUUAACCCGGUUAACACUUGUUAACCCCAAAACUCACAACCCAAAAUCCCUUAAUAACGAAGGACUCGAACCACCCUAGGGAUCGUCUGCUAGACAAGUACGUUAGUCCAUGGGCAAAUACGUUAGCCCAUCGUGUGACAACUCCGGAGUGCACUCCUUGGGUGGAGCGACCACCGCGAAUGUCACGCCCCGGGACCGAUACCAAUUUGGCCCGACCCGAGCACGUCAAACAGACGCCGAACGGACAGAGUUUUCCCUAUCCGCCCAAGGCUCAUCACGUGUACAAAUUCAAACAAGAAAUGCACUAGCGGAAACAUACACAAACGGCUUACGCAAGGGUAAGCAAUAGCCAUUAGUGAAAGAAAGAAAAACUAACAUUUAUAAGUACUAUGAUUUAUUUUUGAUCAUAUACAUUGCAUUCAUCUUGUUCACUUUCGAAUUCCUUACAUUUCAUUUCAUCAUUUCUUUCUUACAUCACAUUUACCUCAAAAUACACAUUACAUUCUUUUCUCACAUCACUAGUCAUCAAAUACAAAAGAUGAACAUAGGGUACUCUACUAACAGAAUGAAACCCAACUUUGGUGGCCUCUGACUAAGGCGCGAUACCUUUACCUCGGUCGCUCGCCGGCUCGCUCGGUCCCGGCUCUGUGGAAAUAGUGGGGUGAGAACUACAACAAAGUUCCCAGUGGGUUCGGCCUCAACAUCACCGACUUUCCCACUAGGACUAACUCAGGCAUAAUAGAAAGGAUAAGCUGAAAUAUAGUAACCAAUCUACAACAUGAUGCUAAUAUGCCUGAACAAUAAGCAAGGAAUAUGCUCAACAUUAACAUAUGCAGAUUAUGCAAGUUCUUUCGUUCUUUAUCUUUACACUUUGUUCUUUGUUCUUUGCUCUUUGUUCUUUAUUCUUUAUUCUUUAAUCUCAAGGCUAACCCGGGGGUUUCGCCACAUUAACUUGCUUCACAUUAAGUCCAUCAUCGCAGGAACUCACCCGCUAGGACCGUCCUUCGGGUUUACUCCAACCCGUGAUGCAUAACUCCGGAGCGCAUCGCCCGAGGGGGAGCGACCGCCCUCGAGCACGGAACUCAUAGCAAGUAUGAUCAUAUCCUUAACUCAAAGGAUUUAUAAGUUCAAUCUUGACUUUACACUAGCUCUAGUGUUCCUUAUGUCACUUUAUGUUGCCACUCUAGCAAUCAUUGUUCUUUACUUUUCUUUUACUUUUGCCAUCUUUAGCAUUCUUGUUCUUUACAUUUCUCGUUCUUAUUGCCCCACAUUACUUUAGCUUUAUACAUGGUCAUUUUCAUCAUUCUUUACAUCACUUUGGUUCUUUGGCUCACACUAACUCUAGUGUCACUUUACUUUACGUUUCGAAUGCCACUCGAUCUAUGUCAUAGUGUCACUCUGUUCUUUUGCUCACUUUGGGUGCUCACUUUCUCUCAUGCAUACACAUAGGGUUUUCGACGUUUACAUAGUUCUCGUUCAUGAUAUUAUGCAAGUUGUGCUCACAAUCAUGCAUCAUUACAUUUUCUAUCAUCACUUUACCCUAAAUGCAUGCAACAAUAUAUAUACAUACGCUCAAUUGAAUGACACAUUAGGCAUAGAGAGAAGUUCAAUGAGUUUGAGAAGCACCACCCACCUUGUAGGUCUCUUUAGGUGCUCCGAUGAUUUUCUUGGGAUUUUUAGACCCUUCGUUCUUUACCUGCGGCAUAAUGAAGCCAAAUUAGGCUUAUUUGGCCAUAACUUUAUAUUGGCUUUUCGUAACAUUAAUCCGAGCGCACCAACGCGUCGGAAAUACCCCCAAUUAGGUUUCUAGAGGGUCAAUUGCACUUAGAAACCCUCAUGAGCAAAAGCCCCAAUUUGGUGCCCUAGCUCCAAUACAUAUGUCAAACCUAGGGUUUGAUCUCAAAGAGAAGCAAAAAUAGCUUCAUUAUACUCUAAAAAGUCCAUUAGAACCAUCUUUAGACAAAUCAAAACCCUACUUAGGGUUUCACCAUGAGAGGUGAUGAAGCUCACCUCAAGCCUAUUUUCCAUGGUUUGAUCUGCUAAAAACAAAAGAAAAGCUUCAAAUACUCAAAUGGUUCCAUAAAACUCAUUAAACUUAAUCCAACCCUAGAUUAGGUUCUACGCAUGAUGUAGGGUAGCUUACCUUGUAAGCUCUCCUUUUCCAAACUAGAGGGGAAGAAGAUGAAGUUGCUUCACCUCUUGAUCUUCUUCUUCACCUUCUUUUCCUUCUUCUCCUUCCUUUCUUUCUCUUCUUCUUCUCCUUCUUUGUCUUCUAGAGAGAUAAAGAGAGAUAAGAGGGGAUGAGAGGGUGAAAAUGAGAGAAAUCCCUCAUUUACCCCAAUACAUAGCUCAUUGGGUUGCAAAAUUGCAGCUAAACCCCUCUACUUUCACUUUAAUACACUGCCCGAACUGGGCAGUUUGCGCAGGCGGGGACCGGUCUCUCCUUCAGGGACCGGUUCCCGAAGGUCGUCUCAGCGCAGCCAGAGCUACUACGCGCAGUGCAACCGGUCUCUCCUUGGUGGACCGGUCUCUCGGGGACCGGUCUCUCAGGCAGGGACCGGUUCCCGAGAGCUAGUUUCUCAGGACUUAGCCGAUUUUUCGGCUGUCUCAAAUCAUACGCGUUCGGGGACCGGUCUCUCCCACUAGGGACCGGUCCCCGAGAGCUCAAAAUCUGCAGUUUUGCAGAAUUUGAUUCUAUAGCUCUCGAAAACCUCCCGUAACUCGCUUUUAAUCAUUUUAACACCUUCGGACUUUCCGAAGUGUACCGUCCUCGCACUUCGGUCAAUUUGACUAAAGUUCGACAUUUUCUUAUUUUCCGAAUUUACGGUAUAUUACAGCGAAGCUAAAAACAAACUAUAUGAGUAUGAUCCAAUCCUCUAACCCGAGAAUACCCUACCAACUAGUGGUAAUCAAACCGGGAUAACACCAAUCCCAAACCUCAUGUACUGAGUAAUCACAUUGUCGCUAGCUAAUGCCACAAUGUCUCUAAGUUCACAUUGUUAUGUCAAAUGCCAUAAGUGUUUCCAAUACACUAAUCAUAUGCCACUCGAUCUAUUUGACAUCCUAAUUGUCUAUAUCGAGUAUCAUAGUUCAUAUAUCCUUAUUUUUCAAUGUCGAGUUUCUAAUUCACCUAGAGUUUAUCGACCUAAGCUCAACAUGCAAAUGUCAAUUAACAUAAUCCUCUAUAUGUCAACAUGCAUAGUUCAUCUAUCAUAUGCAAUAUGUCAUCAUGUAUAUAUUUUCAUUUAACAUAAUCCACAAUAUGUUAAUUCACACUAUGUCAUCAUGCACAUAUACCAACUAGCAUCUCAUGAUAUGUCAACACACAUAUAUACAUCAUCUAGCAUAAUCCAAACUAUGCCAACAUUCCUUUCUAUAGUAUCACUUUCAUGCAUUCAUAUAACCUCUAUGACAUACAUUCAUAUAACAUUUCAUGCAUUCUUAUAGUAUUAUUUUCAUGCAUUCAUAUAACCUCUAUGACAUACAUUCAUAUAACAUUUCAUGCAUUCUUAUAGUAUCAUUUUCAAGCAUUCACUUAGCAUAUUUCUUAUACAUUUACCAUUCUUCAACUAGCUACCAUUAUAUGCAUUAAUAAUAAACAACGCUCCACUUCGACAUGGAAGUGAGCUAAUAUCUUCAGUGAGCACAACCCACCUCUUUUCGAUUGCUUGUAGUCACUUACAGUCGGCCUCCCGCCGCACCCGUGACCCGGUUCGGCCCGAACUUGCGCGCGACCACCCAAACGGCCACCAAUCCACGAUCUGGAAAUUGAAGGUCUAUAACUUGAUGCCACGAUGCUCCGGAUCCAUUUUCAUGAUUUUUGGACGCCGCCUUGGCCCUCCAGGCGGAAACGAAGCUGAAACGUCCGUUUCUUCAAUAUCUUCGCAUAGGCUCGACGAAUCGCCGAACCGACUUCGCCAACGUGUUCGUAUACCUAGCAAUUAGGUUUACGUAGGGUUAAUUUAGAUCAAACCCAAACAUUUUACAAAAACCCUAUUUUGAACCCUAACAUGCUACUAUUGCAAUAAAUCUCCAAAUUGAUUCAUGAUUCAAGCAAAUAGCAUGUUGUUAUCACCUAGGGAGUCCUCUAAACCCAUUCCUAGAGCAUAUAAAUAAAGCUCUAAAGAUUUACCAUGAGAGGGGUUCAAGAAGCUCACCUCAAAGCUUGCUCCAAACCAAGGAGAAAAUGAAGAAGAUGAAGAUGAUUCACUUCCAAGCUUCAAUCUCCACCAAAUCCUUCAAUUUUGGGAGAGAUCUAGAGAGAGAAAGGGAGGUCUCUCUCUCCCUCCAUGUAUGCGUGUGUGUGUGUGUGUGUGUGUGUGGUGUUGUGGCUGCACGGUUGAGGGAGAAGAAGCAAAUGCUUCUUAUACAAUUAACACCCUCACAAUACACUAUUCGCAUCAGUUUAGCAGAUACAAACUGACGUUUUUCGCCGGAGCCCUUCUGAAUGUCCGUUUGAGCUCAAAUUUGACAGUCGGGCUUGAUCUUACUUAACUUAACGAAAGAAAUUUUAAUUUUUCAGUUUCGAUCCCGUUUGGUCACCGAAAGCUCCACCGAACUGUAAUAUCUAGCAGAAAGCAGUCGGAUUUUAUUUUCCACUUUCCGGGUGUUUAUUUUUCACUUUUCGGGUGUCGGAUUGACAUGAAACUUUAAAUCUAGCCUCAUAAAAAUAAUUUCGACAUAUUUUUCAGUUUUUAUAAUUUUCCGACACUGUCUAUUUUCUGCUAAAAUAUUAGUACCGUUUCGCACAGAAAAUUCUAAAUCUUUUGCUUUCGCUCCGAUUUCAGCACAAGUCAUUUCUGACUUAUAUUUUACCUCUCUAAAUACAAUAAAAAUAGUGUCUCAUACUAUUUUUAUUUAUUUUUUACUUUUAUACCAAAUCUGGUAUGUUACAUCCCAGCCCUUCGCCGGGCGCAUCCCGGCCACCGGCGAACACCUCCGGCCGCCGAAAAAGACGGCAUUGCAUCUCAUCCACCUAACACCCCCUCAUUUCUGCCGUGGACCACCUAGGGUCAUCCAAAGCCUCGGGUCCCUCUCCACUGGCCGCAACCCAACCUUCGGCACCGUCCUUACCGGCCCCCGCCGUCCGUGCACACCGCGCCGUCACUGCCUAGGCGAUCCGCGCCCAGUCGAGGUCAACUUGGGCCGAGCCCAAGCUAGCUCGCGGUCCACGAGCCGCUGCCGCCAUAGACCGGCCACACCGCCCUCCUAGACCUCCAGCAACCUUCCGCAUGCCGCCCCCGUCAUCCCCGCGGGCUGCCAGCCGCUGCCCUAGCUCCCCGCGGCAGCCAGGACCUAGCUCGGGCCUAGGCCGAUCUAUUCUCGCUCCUGCACCUCGCCGCCGCCGCCCACGGUCGGCCGCGCCGCCUUUUCCCGGCCUCUGGCGACUGAUCGUCGUAGCCCCGGUGCUCCCCCGGCCGCCGCCUAGCUGCCGUUGACCUUUGAGCCGGAGCUGAGCCGCACAGGCUCGUGCCUCUCCACCGCGCCAUCGGCCGUCUCCCGUCGUUGGCCAAUGCAUGCCCAGGCCCCCUCCGGCCAGCCGCAACCUUCUCCUGCCGGCGCGCCCGCUGUUCGGCCGUCGUCGGCCACCCUGUGCUCCACUCAGCUUCGGUAAGCUAGUUUAUAAUUUUCUACACACUGUUUCAGGUUUGGGUGGCUGUUCCGGCUAUCCAAGGGCACCCUGACACUCUCGGAAGUGAGCACGACGAUCCCUGAUCCAUGCAGAUCAUCAUGCUCACCUCUUUUGGGGUCAGCGAAGCCCCCGUUUGUGUGCUAAACAAUGUUUAGGCACUGUGCGCGCUGUUCGCAGAAUUUCGCGUUGCCCCCGCACUCUCCACAGUGGUCGGCCAUGCUCCAAAGCAUGAGCAUGGCCUACGGCACGUUGAGACCUAUCAGCGAGUGUCUCGUCUAGGCUCGAAAGUCCUCGGUUUGCGUUGUCGGGCCGUAAAACCCCGAAAAUCACAUAAAAUGAUAUGAUUUUAUGUAAUCACAGGGGCUUAUUUGCAAAUUUAUGUUUCGUGGUUGUUGUGGGCACUGUGUGCAGGCAGGGGGUGACCUCUGGACUGGUUGUCCAAGGCCCCAGGCCUUUUCGGAAAUCGGAUGUUGAUUUUCGGUGUGUCUUUCGGCGAAAUCCGUUUACGGAACGCGAUUUCGGUUCGAAAUUCUUUCGAUAAUGCCUCACGAUAAAUUAUGUUGUCGCUGACCCUUGUUGUCUAGUCACCUGCGUCGUUUUGAGGGUUCGGAAACGACGGGUGAGCGACGGUGGGUUCCGGUGUCGAAAUUGAUACUUCCGAGAACCCGGAUCGGAAUGAUUAUCCGACGAUAAUCGUUUCGAUGUGAGGAUAUGUGUUUGCUGCCAGGUCACACAAAUUAUUGUGUUUGGUGGCAGCGGGUGACUCGUGGCAUGAGUCGGUGAGUUCCGGGGACAGUUCAUGGGUCCCUGCGGAGUCCCAGUGCGAUUUUCGGGACUUCCGGCGAGUUACAGUAAUCGGUGUAGGGGAAACCGAUUCUCGUGGAUUUACAGGUGGGAAUGUGAGUUUGUGUUUUAUAUACUUGGGUUGGAUUCUAACCCGGUGGACCCUCCGUAGGUCCGGUUUUCCUCCGCGGUCGAGAGACAUGUGCUACGUACGUACAAGUUGGUACUUCGACCCGAAGUCGGUACAGUGGUGAACGCUCGGUGACAUCCUUUCUACCCUUCUCCUACUAUCAUGUUGCAUUUUAUAUGUUGAGCAUUGCACCUUUAUUACCUCUUUAUCGCUCUACUUAGUUUGUAUCUAGCAUCAUGAGUAGAAGUAGAGCAGGUUUAUGAUUACAUGUGAGAUUUGUGACCUAAUCGAUCGGUUCUUGUAUUUCGUACUAUGACCUAUUCGGUCGGCUUAUUGCAUUGAGCAUUAUGACCUACUUGGUCGGUUGGACUACUUGGUGACCUGUACGGUCGGUACACCCUAAGGGGUAGGAUUGUCGGCUAGUUGCCGACAGUUGGCUAUUGAGCAUAUCAACAUCGAUCGCCACUGCUCGUACGCAUUUCACGAAUACCAGCGGUCUGAUCCAACGCAAUGGGGUGUUAUUUUCUGAAAAAGUGGUUGGGAAUGCCAGCUCGUGAGCCCAAGAGCUUAUGCUAGGGUUAUAUGGUUUCAGACCCACGAGCUUAUGCUAAGGUCAUAUGCCAUUCUGACCCAGGAGCUUAUGCUAGGGUCAUUUGCAGGUUUGAGUAGUUGUGGCACAGGCGUGAGGUCUACGGCCCGAUAUGUCAGGCUUAUGAUUGGGUACUUUUGGACUUGUCGUCCAGUUGAUGCAUGCAUAUAGUAGCGGUAGUGAGUUAUAUAUAUCUCGUCCCUUGCUUAUCUUUGCUACUGUAUUACCAUUACUUAUAUUUUGUUAUCCUCCUUGACUGGUGAGUACCCCUCGCCCUCGUCAGCUUGCGGUACCCACUGGGAGGGGAGACAUAUGUAUAUGUUCUCACCCCCUACCCCCUUUCUGGUGACGUCGCGGGUCGAAGUAGGGAUGGUUCGUGAGGCGCGCGUCCUAGCAAUCAAUAGGGCUACCGACCCGUCAUUUUGGUUAAUUUUCUUAACUGGACUUCUCAAAUAAUUAACUUAGUAUUUAUGAUUCAGUUGGUUUCAUGUUAAUUGGAUAAAUGGGAUUUUGUGAAUGUAAUAAAGAACGUAUGGAUUUCUUAUGAGAUGAAAACGGUUCUCUACCCCUUGUGGUAGCGUAUUUUAAAAGAAAAUGGUUUUCGUGUGGAAAACGGUUUUGAAAAGAUUUUUCUCGAUUUUCAUGACUCUUAGUGUUUCAAAAUGAGUUUCCGGGUAGUAAACGAUUUAAACUAAUAGAUAUGAAUAUAUGAAUAUCUAUGAUAAAAUGAAUGGUGAAUGUGAAUGGUGAAUGUAUGUGAGUGUCAUACUGUUGUGGUUGUAUCUUGUACUUGUGUGAUGCCGUGCAAAUACAGAGGAGACUCUGUUCGUUUGAACAAUGAAUUUCCUAUAUUUGUGGUGGAUCUGGCAUACUCUGGGGUGAAGGUUUUCAAAAAAAAAAAAAAAAAUAUUGGGCACUUCUCCAUUGACUUUUAAAUGAAAAAGGGACCCCGGGAUGUGACAUCGGUUGUCACGCCCCGCGCCCCGCCUAUUUGGUCAGGUUCGGGCACGCCGACAGACUGCCGAACGGACAGAGUUUUCCCUAUACGUCCUAAGCGUCGCAAUCAAAACAAUACAAGUGGUUCCAACCAGGAACAGUAUUCAAUCAUAGAUUGCAAAUGAAAGGUAUAACAACAUAACACAUCCUAUGUUAUUACAAGCAUUCCCAUUUCAUGCAUUUUACAUCUCAAUUACCAUUCAUUUUCAUCCAAAUGCAAUCAAGUUAUUACAUCACUUAUUUACAAGUUUUAGUACAUCUUGUUCUUUUCAUUUCACCCUACCCCUAGGCUAUGCCGACUCGGGGUACCCCUAUCUCUGGUCUCUGGGAUAGGGCGCUAUCUAUGGAGCUACGCCCUUGCCUCGCGCCACCGCGCCGCUCAUGUGCGAACCUGUAACACCCCAAAAUAAUGUGGGGUGAGAACCAACUCCAUGGUUCCCAGUGGAUACGGCCACCCAAGGAAAAAGCUCGACCGAUAGGUCCAAGGAGGCAUUGCAACAUGUUAGUCCAACAAUAUAGAACAGAUAUAUAUUCAAAUUGAAAUAUAUGUCAUGCCUCAUAAUAUGCAAUAUUAAAUCAUGCAACUAUGCAACUAAGCAGUUCACUAGUAGAUCCAUCGAUACUACUUUCAAUCUUGCAAAUCAUAGCUGAUGCCAUCUAGCUCUAGGUUCUACUUACCUUAGUUCCACAGCUCAGCCUCAACUAGUGUCUAAGGUCUCUACUGCCUUAGUUCAUAUCAUAUAUCACUAGCCUUUAAGGUUUCCACUAUCCACCCGACUCGCCUCGAGUCAAUCAUCGCAGACUACCGCGCACUGGCUGCACCGCAGCCUGGCUGCCGUCACAGCCCACUGCACCUCUUGACUAAGCCAUCUGCGGCGAACGCGUCGCCCUUACCCAAUAAGGACUCAAGUCAUGACUUAGCCAUCUGGCGGCGAACUAAUCGCAUCACACCCAACAAUAGUUCAGGUCACGACUCAGCCUUCUGGCGGUGUACGCAUCGCCUUUACCCAGCAUGGUUCAAGUCAGUCUAGACGGCAUCAUCCAAUAAGCUAAAUGGGCGAGGAGAACCAACAUACCCAUUUCAAGCUCAAGCUCAUGGCAUACCGGGCGAGGAGAACCAACAUACCCGUUGAAUCACUGCCAGGCGAGGAGAACCAACAUACCUGUAGAUAGGAUUCUAUUUAUGCCAAUACACUUACCGAGCGAGGAGAACCAACAUACCCGUUGAAUCACUGUCGGGCGAGGAGAACCAACAUACCCGCAGUUAGGAUUCACGUGCGCUCAGUCGCAAAUCUCAUUCGUUGCACUAGCAGCCUUCAUUUCCUAGGGAUUCCGGAAUCCAUUUCAGAACUCAAGGGUUGGUCUCAAACCCUAUAGUAUCGACCUAUCUAGGUCCGAUGUCCUUUCCACCCUAGGUCCAAUCGACUCUAGGUUCAACGCCUCUAUCACAUAACCUAGGUUUACUUUAACUCUAGGUUCAAUCCACAACGUAUGUUCUUUAACACUAGGUUCGAUGUCAACCUAUGUUUAACAACACUAGGUUCAUAUGUCAACCUAUGUUCAUGACACUAGAUUCAAUACAACCUAUGUUUACUAACACUAGGUUCGAUGCCACACACCUAGAUCCAUUUGACUCUAGGUUUAUUUACAACCUAUGUUCUUUAACACUAGGUUAAAUGCCACUCGAUCUAUUCGACAUCCUAGUUGUCCAAUCGAGCAUUCUAUAAUUCACAUGCAUAUAUAAUCUAGCAUAUCCUCACCAUUCUAAUCAUGUAUAUGUUACCAUGCAUUCAUCUCAAUGCCAACAUGCAUUAUUUAAUAGCCAUUAUGUUUAUUAUGCCUCUCCUAGCAUCAUGUAAUCAUGCAUUUACCUAGCAUGUAUUCCACCACGCAUAUAGAUAUUAACAUGCAUCUAUCUACUAGCGUAUGUCAUCAUGCAAUUAUCUAGCAUUUACAUAUCAUGCUCAUCAUGCAUUCUAUAUUAUGUCAUUAACAUGCAUUCGUAUAGUAUUAACUACAUGCAUCAUCUAGCAUUUACAUGCAUCAACAUGAAUUCACAUCUUUCUUAGACAUAAGGGCAACCUAGUCUGUAACACACUGGACCUUUGCAAAUUGCGAGGUUCGAGUGUUUGGAUGUAUUUCGAGCUUUUCCACACUUGGUGGAGGGUUGUAGAAUGUUUUCCGACCUAAAAAGUUCGAAAAUCGGAAUUCUGGAUAAGUCCUGAGAGUUUUUACUCUCGGGGACCGAUCCCUGGAAGGAGAGACCGGUCCCCCAAUGAGCAGUGUUGAGGCAGCCUGAGGCAACCGGUCCCUGGCAGGCGAGACCGGUCCCCGAGCGCGUCUUCGCAGAGAGAGACCGGUCCUGCGCGGGGAGAGACCGGUUCCCGAACGCUGGUUUUUCGGGUUCGCAGCGAGAGACCGGUCCCUGCUGGGGAGAGACCGGUCCCUCUGGGCGAAAACUGCCCAGACCGGGCUGUGGUAAUAUUGGAUUUUUGGAGGGCCUAGCUGGAUUUUGUUACAAUAGAGGGUCUAUAUGACCCCUCCACCCUCUCUUCUCCUCAUUUCUCUUCUCUCAACUCUCUCCACACCCUUGAUAGAGAAGAAGAAGAAGAAGAAGAAGGAGAAGAAGGAGGGAAGGAGAAGAAGUUUGGAGUUACUAGUGGACUUGGAGCAUCUUCCUCACCCUUUCAUCUUCCUUGGUGCUUGAAGGCUUGGACUUGGGGCUUGCAAAGGGGGAGAUCUUCACCCUUGGAGCUUGGAUUGGAGUUUCUAAGGAGGUUUGUUACUCAUUCCCUCCCUUUAGACCUUGGAUUUGAGGUUUUAUUGUAUUGGAACCCUAGAAAUGAGAUUUAGGGUUGAUUUUGGGGCUUUUUGGUCUAGGGCUUUUGAGGCUAGAUUAAUUGGUUUAGAACCUUCCUUGGGCUUGGAUUGGAAGGGUUCUAGCUCUCUUUUGGAGCUUUGGAAGAGAUUUUGUGACGCCCCGACUUCCCAGGGGUCACCCAUCCUAGGACUACUCCCGUCCUAGCACGCUUAACUCUCUUAACCUCUUGGGCCUUGCCACCACCCAAAAUGCUUAAGCCGGGUUAAGAGUUUAGCCCUAUUAUAUCUCAUAUAUAGGACUAUCUGGGUUUCACAAUCUCCCCUCCUUUAAGCCCUGACGUCCUCGUCAGGCUCAAACUCACAAGUACCAGGCGAUGUGAGACUCAUCUCGCUAGCCCGUCAUCCAGACCCUGGCUCAGCCGAGACUCAUCUCACACUUCCGGCUGGUAAUUGGCUCUGAUACCAUCUGUGACGCCCCGACUUCCCAGGGGUCACCCAUCCUAGGACUACUCCCGUCCUAGCACGCUUAACUCUCUUAACCUCUUGGGCCUUGUCACCACCCAAAAUGCUUAAGCCGGGUUAAGAGUUUAGCCCUAUUAUAUCUCAUAUAUAGGACUAUCUGGGGUCUCACAGAUUUCUUCUCUUGAGGUGAGUUUUGGCCCUUUUUGCUUCUAGGUUAAUGUUUGAUCUUAUGGUUGGUCGUAAUGCCCUCGUAUCUCUUCGCUGAUCACUUUUAGGGUACUUUGAGGCUCGUGGACAACUCCGUUCGACGAAUCGAAGGAGCACGCGACGGUUCGGUGGGUUUGACCUAGCCUAUGAUAUGAGGAAUGCUCAUAUUUGGCAAAAUAUGUUUCGUAAAAUAGAAAUUCAUGCAUUUCCUUGUUUAAUGUAUUUAAUAUGAAUUUUAGAAUGCUUAACAUGCAUAUAUUAUGUAUAAUGAAAUUUUAGACCCCUAUGUGGUAGAGUGCAUGCAUGUGAGACUUAGCAUUCUAUUUAUGAUUGGGAACCAUGAUCCUUAUUAUGUAAAUGAACCUUGCUUUCAUGCAUUUAACCUAUAUGCCAAUUGUGACAUUAGGAAUGUUAGAAGCCUAGAGAGGGCUUGAGAACUUGGACUAUUUGAGAAUUGGGACAAUGUCAUAAAGAGGCAUUGGGCCCGGGUCAUGGUAAUCAUUGGUAUUGAUGUUUUAAUGGAAACAUAGAACAAGAUUUGGGCUUGAUCUGUUGUGAUGCUUAAGUGUCAUAAAGAGGCACUAAGCAAGUGAGUGUUGGGACAUCACUUAGAGACAUUGGGCUAGAUCCUUGGGAUGCUAGUGACCUUGCCAUGUUAGAGACAUGCGGAUAGAGUAUUUGAGACAGUGACCUUGCUUGUUUGCCAUUUGUGCUCAUUCGCACAUGCUUGUGAGGGUCGCUCCCUACAAGCCGGCACUCCGGAGUUAGCCUACGCGACUUAUGUUCGCUCGUGCGGUAUUGAGAAGCCUACGGGGUCGAGUGGGACAGACACAUUCCAAGAGUAGGGAUGUUGGGCUACCACAGGCACUUAGGCGGCACAAGCUGGACUACCUUUGGUAGGUCCUUAAUUGGAAAUGGAAAUCGAUACGGUGUUGAGAAUGGUUAAUCACAACUAGAUAGGUUUAGUAGUUGAGUUACAUUUAUAUGCUUUUAGCAUAGUGUUGAGACAUGUAGUAUACUUGAUAGUCUCCUUUUGCAUUAAAGCAUACUUGGUUGCCAUGACAGAACUUAUGCAUAAUGUAUUCAUAAAGGUUAAUGACAUACUACUUUGAUAUCGUAGAUGUACAUCACUAUGACAUCGUUUAUUCUCGAGUUUAAUAAUUUAGCAUUUUAAUUAUGCCUUUAUAUCGCGGUCAUUAUUGUUAUUAUUAUCGUACUCACCCUCUUCUUUUGGGGCCUAGUGGUGCAUAGUGCUGAGGUCAGUAAUUGCCCACUGGGAACUAUAAAUUAUAGUUCUCACGCCCUCUUUUUCUUGAUGUUUUUCAGAGCCUUCCACUCAGGGGGAGGCCAGGGACCGCGGGAAGGGAGUUGCUUCGAGCUAGCUUCCUUCGAGGACGAUUUGCUAGGUAGUCUACCUCUCGUUGUGUUUCUUUUUGGAGAGGUUGAGAGUUUUACCAGUGUACUACUGACCACCAUUUUUGUAUUAGAGGCUGAUACUGUAUAACUUAUGUUUACUUUCAUGUAUUAGUUAUGUUCUAUUACUAUUGGUGUAGAUGUUAGAACUUUACUCGCUCUGAUAUCAUUAGUUGCUAGUUAUUUCACUUCUUUUAUUUGUUCCAUCUCUUGCUUUUACUUUCGCUUUUCUUGUAGACGCCUUAUAUGUGUAGACAUAUGGCGGGUAUGGGCACGCUACCGGGAGGGCCUCCGCCGGUCCCGGGGCGUGACAGAUUAAUUUGGUAUCAGAGCCUAGGGUUGAGUCUUAGUGGACCUAGCGAACCUUAGGCCGGUUGGACAAUAGGAAUUAGGCUCGUGAGAGACGGGGUCUAAUUGACUUGUGAGCGAAAGUAUUUCGAUUGGGUUUAUGACAACUCUAAAAAGUUAGAGUUUGAUUGGAGUGUAUGGCUUCUAACUUCGCGGAGGGUUACGUUGGCGGCCGACAACGUAACAUCGGGAGCUAGUAGUGAAGGACACUUCCUUACUUUCGCAUGAUUUUGGGUUUCAUUGUUUCGAGCGGGGAAGCGAUAGCGUGGGUUAUUAACUUGCGCUUUUAUGUUUUGUAGUGACGAUGCCGAUUACACGUUCCCAGUCUGCCGGGGCGGAUGGUGCGGCACAUUCCGAGGAGGUCGAGACCUCCGCUACUUUCGGAUCUAGUGAGGUCCGUGACUUGAGGGCCCAGCUUGCGGUUCUCACUGAUCUGUUGGCGCAGCAGACAGCAGCGGCGCAGCGACAGGCUGCGGUGGCUCAGCGGCAGGAGGCGCGGAUGAAGCAUCUUGAGGACCUCCUACUUCAGCAGGCGGCAGCUUCUAGGGAGACCCAGGGCCCCACACCGCCAGCACCUGUGGUGGACGUCGCGCCGAGCGCGCAGUCCCCCGCGCCCAGUUCUUCCCGGGCGGCACCGACGACCGCACCUUGAGAGGAGGUGGCUGCGGUACCCCCAGUUCAGAGACCGGCCAUGGGAGCAGCUUUCCCCGUGAUGGCCGAGGGAGCCGAGCGGGAUCGGCUCAUGGAUCGCCUUAGUGAGUUUAGGAGGUGCAGCCCGAGGACGUUUGAUGGCGAGAACGUUGACCACUGGAUUGUUGAGAAGUGGUUGCUGCACAUGGAGAAGCUGUUUCGAGAUACCUUCGUUGAAGAGAGGGACAGAGUUUGGCUCGCCACUCACUUUCUGGACGGCGAGGCCUAUCGUUGGUGGUUGGAUAUCCAGGACAACCCCAACACCGACUUGGCAGCGGUUACUUGGACACGAUUCAAGGAGCUUCUACUGGCGCAUCACUUCCUACCAGCGUCAAGAGGAAGAUCGAGUAGGAUUUGCGCAGCUUGCGCCAGGACAAGCGGUCAGUGGCUGAGUACGAGAGGGAGUUCUCCCGGAUACUACACUGCGUACCGUUUGUUGUGAGGGAUGAUGAGGACAAGGCCCGCAUCUUUGAGCACGGUUUGCGGCCUUCUAUCUUCCGGUUGGUGCAGUCUUCCAACCUCCAGACCUACCGGGAGGUUGUGGAUCGAGCCUUGAUUGUGGAGGCAGGAGCGGCAGAUUUGCAGGAGCGUCGCGAGAGCUUGGAGAAAGGGAAGGGCAAGAGACCCGCGGCUGAGGGUGCGAGCCAGACGCACUCACGGAGGCAGCCGAGGCAUCCCAGGAGCAGGAGCCAGUCGCGGGGACGCGGCCAAUCUACCCAGCGAGGAGGACCCGAUCGUCGCCAGGUCCCCCGCUGCGUGAUCUGUGGUGGUCCUCAUUACCCGCGGCAGUGUUCACGCAGCCGGGGCAGGUGCUUCUUGUGUGGCCAGGAGGGCCACUUCCAGUUGGACUGCCCGAGGAGUCCAUUGCCAGCGCCAUCUGCGGCAUCUGCACCAGCAUCGCCAGGUCCCAGCAGGGGACAUCUGUUGCGCAUCACCAGGCAGGACGGCCGCCAGUUCUGCGACAGCCGGAGGGGUCACGACAGGCCCCGAGCGGGCGCAUGUACGCGGUUCAGACUAAGGAGGCGGCGGCAGCCGAGAAUGUGGUCGCAGGUAUCAUUUUACUUUAUGGUAUUCGAGCUAGAGCUUUGUUUGAUACCGGUGCAUCGCAUUCAUUCAUUGAUCGGCUGUUUGCCGAGCUGCAUGGCAUCCCACUUGUAUCCUUGUUGCAUCCGGGACGAGUUACUGUACCUGAUCACUCUUUGGAUAUUCGAGAGUUUUGCCCCAGUUGCCCCGUUCGGGUUGGAGAUUGGAUCAUGCCCGUGAACUUGUUAGCGUUGCAUAAACUCGGAGAGUUUGAUGUAGUGUUGGGCAUGGACUGGUUGACUAAGUACUAUGCCACUAUCGAUUGCAAAGAUCGAACAGUGAUUUUUAGAGAGCCAGGGCAGGCGGAGGUUGUGUACCGAGGAUGCCAGAGUUCGCUAUUUGCGAUGACGAUUAGCUCUUCUCGAGCUAGGCAGUUGAUUAGUAGAGGCUGCGUAGCCUACUUGGCUACUAUUGUGUUGCGGGGUGAGGAUGACGCCCCUAGGAUUGAGGAUAUUCCCGUAGUGCGGGGGUUUGGAGAUGUGUUCCCAGCGGAGCUUCCAGGCAUGCCUCCUGGUAGGGAGAUUGAGUUUGUGGUAGAUCUCGUCCCCGGGACUACCCCAAUCUCAAAGGUGUAACACACUGGACCUUUGCAAAUCGCGAAGUUCGAGUGUUUGGAUGUAUUUCGAGCUUUUCCACACUUGGUGGAGGGUUGUAGAAUGUUUUCCGACCUAAAAAGUUCGAAAACUGAAAUUUUGGACAAGUCCUGAGAGUUUUUUUUCUCUCGGGGACCGGUCCCUGGAAGGAGAGAUCGGUCCCCCAGUGAGCAGUGUUGAGGCAGCCUGAGGCAACCGGUCCCUGGCAGGCGAGACCGGUCCCCGAACGCGUCUUCGCAGUGAGAGACCGGUCCCGCGCAGGGAGAGACCGGUUCCCGAACGCUGGUUUUUCGGGUUCGCAGCGAGAGACCUGUCCCUGCUGGGGAGAGACCGGUCCCUCUGGGCGAAAACUGCCCAGACCGGGCUGAUGCAAUAUUGAAUUUUUGAGGGGCCUCUCCGGAUUUUGUUACACUAGAUGGGCUUAUUAGCCAUUUCCUCCUCUUCCCUCUCCCAUUUCUCUCAUUCUCACCCUCUCCCUACACUUUCUAGAGAGAGAAGAAGAAGAAUGAGAAGAAGAAGAAGAAGAAGAGCUAGCUUGAGGGAGCUUGGAGCUCAACCCCUUUCUCUCUUUUCCACCUUUGCAAGGCUUGGAGCUUGCUUGUAGAGCUUGGUGGUGGACCAAUCUUCAACCCUAGAAGAUUUGGAGCUUGUUUGGAGGCACCUUGGGAGGUUAGUACUUGGAUUCUACCCUUGAACCCUUGAUUUGGUAGGUUUUACCANCGAAACUUGACGAGUGCUUUUGUAAUUAAAUUACACACAAAAACAUCGUCCACUGAGAGUUUAGCUACACUACCAAACUCUCGGUGCUUACAAUAUUGGGACCUCUUGAGACUAUCUACUAUGCCCUAAGUGUGUAUACUCAUAAACAAUACAAGUUCACAUUCAAACGUACAAGAAUUGAAACCUCAUACGGUGGUUCAAUUGUGCCCUAAGAGAGCAUAUUCGCAAUGAAUACGUUUUCGCAAUCGGACGAGCCAAUAUUGGGACCUCAUGAGACUAUUCUACCAUGCCCUAAGUGUCACGCCCCGAGCCCCGCCAAUUUGGUCGGAUUCGGGUACGCCAAUAGACCGCCGAACGAACAGGAUUUUUCCUUUAUCUCGAACAGAGUCUCCCCUGUACGUCCAAGGCGUCACAAUCCAUACAAAGCGUGAGGUUCCAACCAGGAACAGCAUUCAAACAUAGAUUGCAUCAGGAAGGUAUCGAAAACAUAUGUUUGAUUGCAUCAGGAAGGUAUCGAAAACAUAAAUGCAUCUAUGCUAUUACAAGCAUUCAUCUUAGUAUUCAUUUUACAAUACAUUAUCUUAGAUUCUUACUUCCAAAUACAAUCCAGAUUUUACAAAUUAUUACAACAUUGUUCUUUUCUUUCUUUACAUCCCUAAGUAGCCAACUUAGGAUACCGCUAUCUCUGAUCUUAGUGGCAGGGCGCUAUCUAUAGAGCUACGCCUUUUUUUCGCGCCGCCGCGUCGCUCGCGUGUGAACCUGAAACCCCCAAACCGACGUGGGGCGAGAACUAUAUAAAUAUAGUUCUCAGUGGGUACGGCCACCCAAGGGAAGAGCUCAACCCACCAGGUCUAAAGGAGGCACUGCAACAUGUUAGUUCAACAAAUAUCCACAGAUAUAUAAUGCAAGUAUAGAAAUACAUGCUUAUGCCUCACAAUAUGCAAUAUGCGAAUUAUGCAAGUAGAUCUCUUGAUUCUACUCUUUAUUAUUUGUCGUUCUUUACUAUCAUUCGUUCUUUAUUCUUAGUCAUUCUUUAUUAUUGCUAUUCUUUAGUAUUAGCCAUUCUUUAUUCUUUAUCUUAGUCAUACUAUGCUCAUUUGUCAUUCUUUCCUAAGGUUAUUUUUACCUUAACCAACUAUGCCAGUCGACUCAGUCUUGAGUCAAUCAACCGCGGAUAAUCCGCGCUCUGUUAGGCUCGAGGCAAAGGACGUCUCACAUGCACCUCAGCCUUAAAUACACAAACAACAUCGCCAACAGGUCGCCCAGAACUGCGUACACCCGUGGUCAGGGAUCUUUCUGGUGGGAGGGAAAUAUGCCACACACACGCGCGGCCCAAGACCCCCGAUAGGGAGGGGAAUAUGCCAUACACACUAGCAAUCCAAGAUUCUUCCGGUGGAAGGGGAAUAUGCCACACACACUCGUAGCCAAUCUUCUAUAAGCUAAUCCUCGACGUUCUUCUGGUGGGAGGGGAAUAUGCCACACAUAGCCGCGGCCAAGAACUGUCGAGUUCACAAUUCCUUUGAUUCCGGAAUCCACUUUACAUAGCUCAAGGGUUGGUCUCACCCUAUAAUGUCGACCUAUCUAGGCCCAAGCCAUUACUCAACCUAAGUUUAACACAUUUGGUCCAAUGUCACUAUGUUCAUAGCCUAGGUUCUAUAACACUAGGUCUGACAUUCUCUACUACCUAGGUUCAUUUCACUCUAGGUUCAAUGCCACUCGUGUGAUAACAUAGGUUUACUUAACUCUAGGUGUCACGCCCCGCGACCACCCGCCUAUUUGGUCGGGCCGCAGCGCCGCCGACAGACCGCCAAACGGACAAGGUUUCCCCUGUACCGCGGACAGAGUCUCCACUGUACAUUCAAGGCGUCGCAAUCAAUACAAUGUACAAAGUUCCAACCAGGAACACAUUUCAAUCAAAGAUUGUAUAAGGAAGUAUUAAAAACAUAAUUUACUUGCUAUUACAAGCAUUCACAUUCACUAGAUAUAUUUUACAUCAUAAUUACACAUUUUACAUUUAACUUCCAAAUAUAAUCAUACUUUUAUUACAAAUUAUUACAAUCUUAUUCCUUUCAUUUUCUUACAUCCCUAAGUAAAGCUGACUCAGGGAACAGCUAUCUCUGGUCUCGGUGGUAGGGCGCUAACUAUGGAGCUACGCCCUCGCCUCGCGCCGCCGCGCCGCUCACGUGUAUACCUGUAACACUCCAAAACAACGUGGGGUGAGAACUAACUCCAUGAUUCCCAGUGGGUACGGCCAUCCAAGGGAAAAGCUCGACCAAUAGGUCCAAGGGAGGCAACUGCAACAAGUUUGUAACGCACUGGACCUUUGCAAAUUGCGAGGUUCGAGUGUUUGGAUGUAUUUCGAGCUUUUCCACACUUGGUGGAGGGUUGUAGAAUAUUUUCCGACCAAAAAAGUUCGAAAAUUGGAAUUCUAGACAAGUCCUGAGAGUUUUUACUCUCGGAGACCGGUCCCUGGAAGGAGAGACCGGUCCCCCAGUGAGCAGUGCUGCGGCAGCCCUGAGGCAACCGGUCCCUGGCGAGCGAGACCGAUCCCCGAGCGCGUCUACGCAGUGAGAGACCGGUCCCACGCGGGGAGAGACCGGUUCCCGAACGAUGGUUUUUCAGGUUCGCAGCGAGAGACCGGUCCCUGCUGGGGAGAGACCGGUCCCUCUGGGCGAAAACUGCCCAGACCGGGCUGAUGCAAUAUUGGAUUUUGAGGGGCCUCUUGGGAUUUUGUUACAAUAGAGGGUCUAUAUGACCCCUCCACCCUCUCUUCUCCUCAUUUCUCCUCUCUCAACUCUCUCCACACCCUUGGUAGAGAAGAAAAAGAAGGAGAAGGAGAAGAAGGAAGGAAGAAGAAGAAGAUUGAGAGCUUUUAGAGGACUUGGAGCAUCUUCCUCACCCUCUCUUCUUCCUUGGUGCUUGGAGCUUGGUCUUGGAGCUUGCAUAGGAGGAGAUCUUCACCCUUGGAGCUAGGAUUGGAGCUUCUAAGGAGGUUGGUUGCUCAUUUCCCUCCUCUAGAUCUUGUUUUGCUAAGUUUUUGAGAUGAAACCCUAGAUUUGAUACUUAGGGCUUAUUUUUGGGCAUUUUUGAUCUAGGGCUUUUGCACCCAAAUUAGUUGGUUUAGAACCUUCCUUGGGCUUGGAUUGGAAGGGUUCUAGCUCUCUUUUGGAGCUUUGGAAGAGAUUUCUUCCCUUGAGGUGAGCUUUGGCCCUUUUUGCUUCUAGGUUAAUAUUUGGUUUUAUAUGAUGAUCGUAAUGCCCGUGUAUCUCUUCGCUCAAUCCUUUUAGGGUAUUUUGGGACUCGGGGACAACUUUGUUCGGCGAAACGAGGCCCUACGCGACGGUUCGGUGGGUUUGACCUAGCCACACAAUGAGAAAUUCUCAUAUGUGCUUAAUUAAGUAUCGUUAAAUGAAAAAGCAUGCAUAUUCUUGUUACAUGUAUUUAUUGUGAAUUUUAGAAUGCUUAAAAGGCCUAUGUUAUAUAUGAUGAAAUUUUGGACCUCUAUGUAGUAGAGAGUAGUUUGGUAGGCCUAUAGUUGCAUUUAGCAUUCCAAAUGAGACGUGGUUUCAUGCUCCUAUAGUGUAAAUGAGAUUGGAUUCAUGCAUUUAAACCUAAGUCUAUUGAGACAUGAAAGUUGACAAGAUUGCCAUUUAGAAGGUAUGUGAACUAGAGAGCUAAUGUCAUCAAGCGGCAUUGAGCUCGGGACAUGUGAGAACCUAGUGGAUAGGGCCAUUGAGGGAUUUGGGAUACAUGUUGAACAUCAAAUUGCCUAAGUGUCAUCAAGGGGCACUAGGCGUAGCAAAUGUUGAAACUUCACAUUGUGACUUAAACUAGAUCUUCGGGAUGCUAGUGACUAUACCAUGUUAGAGACAUGAGGAUUGGAUACUUGAGACUUGGACUAUGCUUGCUUGCCAUUUGUGCUCAUUCGCACAUGCUUGUGAGGGUCGCUCCCUACAAGCCGGCACUCCGGAGUUAGCCUACGCGACUUAUGUUCGCUCGUGCGGUAUUGAGAAGCCUACGGGGUCGAGUGGGACAGACACAUUCCAAGAGUAGGGAUGUUGGGCUACCACAGGCACUUAGGCGGCACAAGCUGGACUACCUUUGGUAGGUCCUUAAUUGGAAAUGGAAAUCGAUACGGUGUUGAGAAUGGUUAAUCACAACUAGAUAGGUUUAGUAGUUGAGUUACAUUUAUAUGCUUUUAGCAUAGUGUUGAGACAUGUAGUAUACUUGAUAGUCUCCUUUUGCAUUAAAGCAUACUUGGUUGCCAUGACAGAACUUAUGCAUAAUGUAUUCAUAAAGGUUAAUGACAUACUACUUUGAUAUCGUAGAUGUACAUCACUAUGACAUCGUUUAUUCUCGAGUUUAAUAAUUUAGCAUUUUAAUUAUGCCUUUAUAUCGCGGUCAUUAUUGUUAUUAUUAUCGUACUCACCCUCUUCUUUUGGGGCCUAGUGGUGCAUAGUGCUGAGGUCAGUAAUUGCCCACUGGGAACUAUAAAUUAUAGUUCUCACGCCCUCUUUUUCUUGAUGUUUUUCAGAGCCUUCCACUCAGGGGGAGGCCAGGGACCGCGGGAAGGGAGUUGCUUCGAGCUAGCUUCCUUCGAGGACGAUUUGCUAGGUAGUCUACCUCUCGUUGUGUUUCUUUUUGGAGAGGUUGAGAGUUUUACCAGUGUACUACUGACCACCAUUUUUGUAUUAGAGGCUGAUACUGUAUAACUUAUGUUUACUUUCAUGUAUUAGUUAUGUUCUAUUACUAUUGGUGUAGAUGUUAGAACUUUACUCGCUCUGAUAUCAUUAGUUGCUAGUUAUUUCACUUCUUUUAUUUGUUCCAUCUCUUGCUUUUACUUUCGCUUUUCUUGUAGACGCCUUAUAUGUGUAGACAUAUGGCGGGUAUGGGCACGCUACCGGGAGGGCCUCCGCCGGUCCCGGGGCGUGACAGAUUAAUUUGGUAUCAGAGCCUAGGGUUGAGUCUUAGUGGACCUAGCGAACCUUAGGCCGGUUGGACAAUAGGAAUUAGGCUCGUGAGAGACGGGGUCUAAUUGACUUGUGAGCGAAAGUAUUUCGAUUGGGUUUAUGACAACUCUAAAAAGUUAGAGUUUGAUUGGAGUGUAUGGCUUCUAACUUCGCGGAGGGUUACGUUGGCGGCCGACAACGUAACAUCGGGAGCUAGUAGUGAAGGACACUUCCUUACUUUCGCAUGAUUUUGGGUUUCAUUGUUUCGAGCGGGGAAGCGAUAGCGUGGGUUAUUAACUUGCGCUUUUAUGUUUUGUAGUGACGAUGCCGAUUACACGUUCCCAGUCUGCCGGGGCGGAUGGUGCGGCACAUUCCGAGGAGGUCGAGACCUCCGCUACUUUCGGAUCUAGUGAGGUCCGUGACUUGAGGGCCCAGCUUGCGGUUCUCACUGAUCUGUUGGCGCAGCAGACAGCAGCGGCGCAGCGACAGGCUGCGGUGGCUCAGCGGCAGGAGGCGCGGAUGAAGCAUCUUGAGGACCUCCUACUUCAGCAGGCGGCAGCUUCUAGGGAGACCCAGGGCCCCACACCGCCAGCACCUGUGGUGGACGUCGCGCCGAGCGCGCAGUCCCCCGCGCCCAGUUCUUCCCGGGCGGCACCGACGACCGCACCUUGAGAGGAGGUGGCUGCGGUACCCCCAGUUCAGAGACCGGCCAUGGGAGCAGCUUUCCCCGUGAUGGCCGAGGGAGCCGAGCGGGAUCGGCUCAUGGAUCGCCUUAGUGAGUUUAGGAGGUGCAGCCCGAGGACGUUUGAUGGCGAGAACGUUGACCACUGGAUUGUUGAGAAGUGGUUGCUGCACAUGGAGAAGCUGUUUCGAGAUACCUUCGUUGAAGAGAGGGACAGAGUUUGGCUCGCCACUCACUUUCUGGACGGCGAGGCCUAUCGUUGGUGGUUGGAUAUCCAGGACAACCCCAACACCGACUUGGCAGCGGUUACUUGGACACGAUUCAAGGAGCUUCUACUGGCGCAUCACUUCCUACCAGCGUCAAGAGGAAGAUCGAGUAGGAUUUGCGCAGCUUGCGCCAGGACAAGCGGUCAGUGGCUGAGUACGAGNUUUUACCUAAACUUCGUGGCACCGUGUAUUGGCUUCUGGAAAUUAAAGGCCUAGCACCUAACCUCCGGCAAGCCCACCGGCGCGCUCCCUAGCCCGGUUUGGCUCACGGCCCACGGCGCCCUCCGGCUAACGUUCACAGCUGUUCGUUAGCCUUAUGCUUUACUCCACCCAACACGAAUGGCUUUGCUGAUCCAGCGGAGAUACAGAUUCUCUUUACUCUAAAGUAUAACUACGUACAACUGUAUAUUAUAUUUUACGGUCUCCUUACGUAUAACUGUAUUAUAUUCUUACACUUUUCUUACGUACAAUUGUAUAAUAUCAAUUACGAAACUUACGUAUUCUAUUUCCCGUAUACUUACAAUUGUAAUAUUCUUAUAUGAUUUUUCUUACGUAUUUCUAUACAACAUCUUGUACGAUCUACCUACAUUAUAUCUUUACGUUCUUACGUACUAUUACAUUACAUUUCUUACGAUCAAAAGUAUUCGUAUAGUAUACAUAUACGGUCUAUUAAUGUACUUCCAAUCGUAGUACUCCUGAUACUUUAUGAGCUUAACCUGUUGAUCCUACAGUUGAUCUAGCUCACCGUAACUUAGAUCACAAUUAUUUGUAUCCAACCUGUAACUUGGAUCACAAUUAUUUGUAUCCAACCUGUUCUUACUGUAACUUGGAUCACAAUCAUUUGUAUCCAACCUUAGUACACACCGUAAUUUGUUUAUAUCCAACCUUAGUACACACCGUAAUUUAGAUCACAAUUUCUUGUAUCCAACCUGUACUUGGAUCAUAAUUUCUUGUAUCCAACCUGUACUUGGAUCACAAUUUCUUUCAUCAAUUUAUUCCAAAUUGGGUUUCACUGUAACACCAAACCAUAAUCGCCAUAUACGUACUAAUCCAUUUUGGAUAGUAACCGUAACUCCGUAUCUCUAUACCUUGUCCAACCGAUAUGGAGGAGUUUAACUCCUACCCUAGCAUGAGUGUACAUAGCCAAGGCCGAACACGCUCCAGCGAGGAGAUGUCCGCCACAUGAGGCCUCAUAUCUGUGGUGCCCACUCUCACGGGCCGCUUCUAGGGAGGCCACUAUCACGGAACACGGAAGGAGCCAUCUACCCUACCUAGGGAGCCCCCGUAAAGGAAUACGAUUAAGGCCAUCUACCCUGUACACUCUACACUCGAACCCCGCUUGAACUACUUGGGGCCUUCCUAACCCAUUUGCGGUUUCACUUACACACUUUCAAACUCAAUACCUAAACCAUGAGGUAAACUCCAUGAGUUUACGAUAUCGCCUCGGCCCUCCAGGCAGAAACGAAGCCUAAACGUGCGUUUCUUUAAUAGCUUCGCAACGGCUCGACGAAUCGCCGAACCGACUCUGCCAACGCGUUCGUUUACCUAGCAAUUAGGUUUACAGAGGGUCAAAUGAGAUCAAACCCUCAUAUUUACAAAACUAGCAUUUUUGAGCCCUAGAUUACAACUAGGUAAAAAUCCAUUGUUUAGCUUCAUGAAUCAUGCAUUAACCAUCUAUUUAGCAUCCUAGGAUUUCUCUAAAUCCAUUCUUAGAGCAUAUAAUUAAGACUCUAAAGGUCUACCAUGAGAGGGUUCAAAAAACACAUUUCAAGCCCUAGGUUUACAACUAGGCAAGAAAUCAUUAAAUUGAUCCAUGAUUUAAGCAACAAUCAUCUCUUUAGCUUGCUAGAAUAACUCUAAAUCCAUUCUUGAAGCUUAAAACCCAAACUACAAGGAGACACCAUUAAAGGGUUUUGGAGCUUACCUUUAGAGCUUGCUUCUCAUGCAAGGAAGAAGAUGGAGAAGAUGAAAAUCCAUCCUUGAGCUUCAAUCUCCACCAAAACCCUCUCUUUUCGGAGAGAUUUAGAGAGAGAAAGGAGAGUUCUCUUCCUCUCUCUCCUUGCGUGUGUGUGGCGUGUGUGUGUGUGCGCAUUCGGCUGAGGAGGAGAAGGAGAAAAGGGAUUAAAUCCCUUUUUACAAAUCAGCCCCUCAACUAUUACACUAUUCACCUCGGGCAGCAGUUUAGCAGUUCGAAAUAGUUAGAGUCCUUCUGAAUGUCCGUUUGAGCUCAAAUUUGACAGACAGGCUCAGUUUAGCGUACCGAGUAAGAAUAUAUUUUAAGUUUCCAGUUUCGACCCCAUUUGGUCACCGAAAACUGUACCGAAUUGUCACUACAAGAAAAUAUAGUAUUGGUGGCAAAAAUAAGGUGGCAACCAAAUUUAUCGCCAUUAUAUAGUUACCUAUGGUGGCGAUAGGAAAAAUCGCCAUUAAUUAAUUAACUUAAAGUGGCGAUUCUGGUUUCACCACUAAAUGACCAUUUUAUCGCCACUAUUUGAUUAUCUAUAAUGGCGAUAAAAAAAAUUGCCACCAAUUAAUUAAUUUAAAGUGGCGAUGGCAUUUUUACCACUAAAAUUACUAUUUUGUCGCCACUAUUUUCUUAUUUAUGGUGGCAAUAAAAAAAAUCUCCACCGAUUAAUUAACUUAAAGUGGCGAUUCUAACCUCACCACUAAAUUACUAUUUUACUCCCACUAUUUAAUUAUUUAUGAUGGUGAUAAAGUAAAUCGUCAUUAUUUGGUUAGCUAUAAUGACAAUAAAAAAAAAAUAUUACCACCAAUUAAUUAAAUUUAAUUUACUUUUUUAAUUAAAUUAAAUUAAUAUUUUAAUUUAAUUUUAAAAUUACUAAUUUAAUUUUUAAAAAAUUUUAAAAAAAUCUCACUUCCCUCAGCUUACCUGCCCCUCUCCUCUCCACUUCCUCUCAGCUACUCUAGAAAAAACCCAAACCCCAUUUCGCCCGCUCCUCUUUGACGAUCUCUCGUCGGCGAGCUCGUCACGACGAACUCCUCGCCGGCGAUCUCGUCACCGGCGAGCUCCUCACCGGCGAUCUCGUCACCGGUGAGCUCGUCACCGGCGAGCUCCUCAUCGGCGACAUAGGCGACAAGCACCUCGCCGGUGAGCUAUGCAACGAGCUCCUCAUUGCUAAUUUUCUUUCCGACGAGCCCUUCAAAACGAAGCUUCUUCUCGCCGAGCUCCUCGCAAGUGAGUCCCUCACUGCCGAUCUCCUCGCCGAUAAACCCUCUCCUUUCGCUUCUCUCUUCCACUCCAAACCCUCACCGCAGAUCUAUAUGCACUUCUCGUUGCUUCUUUGCGGCUUGUUUUGAUCUCAGUAAUUAGAUAGUCUAUAAUGCAGAGUUGGAGCAACCCUGUAUACCAGAUUGAUCUACUUUUCAUCAGGUUUAUCAAUUAGGAAAGGUGAAUAUUUAAAAGACACUUAGGUAAUUAAGGCUAGCUAUUAAUUCAGCAUGUACACUUAACUAACCGAAAGUUUGCUAGUAACUAUGAAAUUUCUAGUUAAUCUUUUAUUAGAGGCAUACGAAAUGCAAGAUUCAAAUUAGUAUGUUUUACUUACUGCUGAAACUAAUCAAUGCAAUUACCAGUGCUGCAUCAGGAGUUCAAACAAUGCAAUUUCCAGUCCUUUUAUGGCAGUGUUUUUGAGUUUUAUGUUGGCUUGGAGAUGUUAUAACAAAGUUUCAUGUAGGUGAUUCAAUGCAUAUAAGAACCUACUUUGAUUUGUGGGCCAUGUAAUAUGAUAAAUGUCAUUCUUCAAUUAUGAAACAAGUCGUGUCUACUUAAGUCAUGCUUUCUGCUUUUGUUUCCGGCUUAAUUAUGUGAACUCCUAAUCUUAUAUGCUAAUUCUGCUUUUGUUUUCAGCUUAAUUAUGUAAACUCCUAACCUUGUAUGCUGAUUUGAAUAUGGUGUGUUUUAUUUUGUUGGUUUCUUUGUUGUGAGUCUCGACUGAUAUGGAUGUCUUGAAAACAAUAUACAAGACCAGAUACUAGUGGAAAGUUAUUUAAUGUUCAUUUCAAGGUUUAGGAGUUCUAUUCUAAAAACCGUAAUGAAUAAUUAAUUUGCGAGUUUGAUGAGUCAAAAGGGUGGUGAUUUUCUAUUUCGGGUGAUGUAAUGUUCCUUCUAUUUUUUUUUCUUUUUUCUGUUUUUGCAUCGACGGUCAACCCUUGUGCUGUAGUAUUAGAUCUGAAAACCGGAAGAUUAUGAGAAUUUUCUUGUCUUGCAAUUGGGUGGUCUGCUUUCACCUUUGCAGUUGUGAAAUCUACAUUAGUAUAAAAUUCAUAGCAGUGUAACUAGAAAGAAAAUUUUCUACUCAAUGGAUUCCUAGAUAGUAGUAUAUGUGUAAGCCCUAUUAAUUCCUGUAUGAAUUGCACCCAUAGGGUUGGUGUUUCAGGGCUUAACAAAUGAACUGAAGCCAUUGAACAACAAUUAUCUAAUCUUUGUUCAUUACAACAUAUAAUAUAUAAUUAUCUGUUCUAUCUAAGAUAUACUUUAAAAUAUGCACCUAAAGAAUGGUCUUUAGAUACCAUACGAAAACUAAAAAACAACUAUGAUUUCCACUCAUGUCUCGCCAUUUUAAGAUAGUAACCAAGUAACUUCACAUUACAACAUAUAAUAUGUAAUUUACUUGGUUGCUGCUACUUUACUGUAAGGGCGCGUUUGGUUCGUACUAUAAAAGAUUACUAGGAGUAAAAAGAUAUCCGAGAAUCUUAUUCCUAUUCAUUCUAUUACUAAAAAUGUAGUAUUUCGGUGUCUCUAUAACCUUCUGCCUAAAAAGUUCCAUCAAUUUCAUCUCUACACUUCACAUCGUCUCAAAUAAGCUUAAAAAUUUUGAAUGGCCAUCGAAUUCAGAAACAAAACUGUACUAUAGAUGUUACGUCGAAUCGAUAGGAUCUAAAACUAGAUAAAAGAGAUAUCUUUGUAUACUACAGCUACGAAAACUUAGCAGUUCAUUGGACAAUUUAGUCAAUUAAAUUAUUCAACCUCUAUUCAAUAUUUCAACAUCAUCAAUCACCAACUCAUUUCUUACACUAUAAAGAGUUGACAUCUUUAGGUAUGGAGAACAUAUCAAAUUAACAUCUCAUACCCAUGUGCUUAAUUCUUAGCUCUAACAAGAAGGUAGAGAUAUUAUUGCAAUAAUAUAUUUGUUAAUAAUUUAUGCUUUUUGUAUAUGAUACGACUAACACAUUCUUAGCAGGACAAUGGGAAUAGACAAAAGUUGGAUGAUCAUCCAAGAUAGAUCUCUUAUUGAGUAUGAAAUGGGUGUUGACGCAUUCUUGGAUUAUGCUUUCAAUCAACUAGGAGAUGUUAGGGGAAUUCGUUGCCCUUGUACUAAAUGCAAUAAUGUCAUAUUUAAGACACGUGAUGAGGUGAAAGCCGAUUUAUUUUUCAACGGAGUGACUCAAUCUUAUACCACGUGGCAUCAUCAUGGUGAAUCAUCUGAUGAAUCCGAUACUAAUGAGCUAGUAGAUGAAGACAUGUCAAGUGAUGACGGGCGUGGGGACAUUAAUAGAAUGGUGGAGGAUAUGUUUGCACAUAAAGGGAAUGUGGAAACUAGUGAAGCAGGAAAGGAGUCCAUAGGAUGUGAGCAAUCUAAUAUUGAUGCACAAAACUAUUUUCGCCUUUUAGAAGAAUGUGAACAAGAUGCUUAUCCUGGGUGUAAGAAAUAUUCUAAGUUGAAGUUUCUAGUGACUUUGCUAAAUUUGAAAUGCCUCAAUGGAUGGACGGACAAAUCAGUUACAAUGUUGUUGGAGUUUCUUAAGGAUUUUUUGCCUGCUGAUGCAAAUAUUCCCAAAUCAUACUACGAAAUGAAAAAUAUUAUUAAAGACUUGGGUCUUCAUUAUAUUAAGAUUGAUGCAUGUAAAAAUGAUUGUGUUCUUUAUCGGAAGAACCUUGAGGAUGCCACUAAAUGCCCAACUUGUGGUGAGUCUAGNNNNNNNNNNNNNNNNNNNNNNNNNNNNNNNNNNNNNNNNNNNNNNNNNNNNNNNNNNNNNNNNNNNNNNNNNNNNNNNNNNNNNNNNNNNNNNNNNNNNAGAGCGAGUUCGCUCAUCUGGGCCAGACCAAGUACAUACGCCCGCUCGGGGCUCUGUCGUGACCCCUCCGUGCUGCCCGCUGGAUAGGUCCAAAAAUGGAGUCCUGGUGGAGUGCCAGAAGAGGUCCCGCUGUCUGGACCCUGCGAAUGCUGGGCAAGGAUGCCGCAAUGGCAGGCGGCAAAGGACUCCUCAGGGCAGUCCGAGCCUGAAGUGGCGACUCAUGCUGGCGCACGACGAGAAGCACCGCGCCGCCGGCUGCGCAUUACACUGUCGUGGGUAAUGAUGGGGCCGCCCACAGAUCACAGGCGGGUACGGGGAGGCCUACGCGAGAACGGCUCCGGGGUCUCCUGACUUUGAGUACUGGCCGCGGUCGAUCGGGAGGAGAGCGGUACGGACGGCAACCUGGCUCCGCUCUGGGGAGAUGCUCGGCGGCCUCCGCUGAUGCACGUGUCUGACUCGCACCCCUCAGCCGCUGGCGAGCAUCUCCCUGCUUCCCUUUCAUCCAGCUUUCGCAAGGGACGCUCUCUGGGCAGAUCCCCGCCGCUGCUCAACUAUCAAUGCUGCGAUUCCAGCAACCUCCCGUAGUCUGUGAGUUGGAAGAACUGCACCAAGCCGGAAGAUGAAGAACCGCACACCGCGCUCAAAGAUGCGGGCCUGUCGGAUACGGUCGUCCGUACCACAAAAGGCACACAGUGGAGUAAUCGAGAAAACUCCAUCUCGUACUCAACUACGGACCGCUCAUCCUGGCGCAAACUGCGCAAGUCCUGCUCCAUCUUCCUCUUGACGCUAGUAGGAAAGUAGUGCGCCAGAAGAAGCUCCUUAAAUCGCGUCCAUGUGAUCGCUGUCAAGUCGGUGCUGGGGUUGUCUUGGAUAUCCAACCACCAACGGUAGGCCUCGCCGUCCAGAAAGUGAGUGGCGAGCCAAACUCUAUCCCGCUCCUCCACAAAGGUAUCUCGAAAAAGUUUCUCCAUAUGCAUCAACCACUUCUCAACAAUCCAGUGGUCGACAUUCUCGCCAUCAAACAUCCUCGGGCUGCACCUCCUGAACUCACUGAGGCGCUCCAUAAGCCGAUCUCGCUCGGCUCCCUCGGCCAUCACGGGGAAAACCGCCCCCGUCACCGGUCUCUGCACAGGGGGUACCGCAGCCACCUCCUCCCGAGGUGUGGUCGCCGGUGCCGCACGGGAAGAACUGGGCGCAGGGGACUGCGCCCUCGGUGCGACGUCCACCACGGGUGCUGGCGGUGUAGGGCCCUGGGUCUCCCUCGAAGCUGCCGCCUGCUGAAGUAGGAGGUCCUCCAGAUGCUUCAUCCGCGCCUCCUGCCGCUGAGCCACCUCAGCCUGUCGCUGCGCCGCUGCCGUCUGCUGCGCCAAUAGAUCAGUGAGGACCGCAAGCUGGGCCCUCAAGUCACGGACCUCACUAGAUCCGGAAGUAGCGGAGGUCUCGACCUCCUCGGGGUGUGCCGCAUCAUCCGCCCCGGCAGACUGGGAGCGUGUAAUCGGCAUCGUCACUACAAAGCAUAAAAGCGCAAGUUAGUAACCCACGCUAUCGCAUCCCCGCUCAAAUAGAUAAAACCCCAAAUCAUGCGAAAGUAAAGAAGUGUCCUUCACUACUAACUCCCGAUGUUACGUUGUCGGCCGCCAACGUAACCCUCUGCGAAGUUAGAAGCCAUACACUCCGAUCAAACCCUAACUUUUUAGAGUUGUCAUAAACCCAAUCAUAAUACUUUCGCCCACAAGUCGAUUAGACCUCGUCUCUCACGAGCCUAAUUCCUAUAGUCCAACCGGCCUAAGGUUUGCUAGGUCCACUAAGACUCAACCCUAGGCUCUGAUACCAAAUUAAUCUGUCACGCCCCGGGACCGGCGGAGGCCCUCCCGGUAGCGUGCCCAGACCCGCCAUAUGUCUACACAUAUAAGGCGUCUACAACAAAAGCGGAAGUAAAAGCAAGAGAUAGAACAAAUACAAGAAAUGAAAUAACGAGCAACUAAUGAUAUCAGAGCAAGUAAAGUUCUAUCAUCUAUACUAAGGUAAAGAAAUAAAGCUAGUCAUAAGUAGUACAAAAAUGGUGGUCUCUAUACAUAUGCGGGUACAUCUCUCAACCUCUCACAAAAAGAAAACACGAGAGGUAGACCACCUAUCGAACGGUCCCUCGGUAAGCGCGCUAGCCCGAGGCGAUACCCUUUUCGCGAUCCCUGGCCUCACCCUGAGUGGAAGGCUCUGAAAAACAUCGAGAAAAAGAGGGCGUGAGAACUAUAAUUUAUAGUUCCCAGUGGGCAAUUACUGACCUCAGCUCUUGCUCCACUAGGCCCCAAAAACAAGGGUAAGUAACGAUAAUAAUACAAGCAAUAAGGAGCAUAUACAUAAACUGCUGAAAGAAAGCAUAAUUGGAAUGCUAGUCUACUGUGUCUCAAACAAGCAUGAUGUCAACCAAAAUGUACAUCUAUUCUAUCAUUACGAUUAAGUCCAAUCACACUAGUUUAAUGUUGUUAACCUUUGUCAAUACAUAAUGUUGUAGUUCUAAUAUGGCAACCAAGUAUACUACAAGUCUCACACUAUGCUAAAAGCAUGUAAAUGUAACCCCAACUACUAAGUCUAUCUAGUAGUGAUCAUUCAUCCUCAACCCCGUGUCGAUUUUCAUUUCCAAGUAGGGACUUACCCAAGGUAGUCCAGCUUGUGCCGCCUAAGUGCCUGUGGUAGCCCGACAUUCCUACUCUUGGAAUGUGUCUGUCCCUACUACUACCAAACCGUAAGCUCCUAAAAACCGCACGACGAUCAAAAGUCGUGCAGGCUAAACGUCCGGAGUCCGUCUUGUAGGAGCGACUCUAACAAGCAUUGGCGAAGACGCACAAAUGCAAGUCAGCAUAGCCAAGUCUCAAAUACCAAUCCUCAUGUCCUAACAUGGACUAUAAGUAGCAUUCCGAAAUAUCUAAGUCUAAGUCCACAGUGAAUUUCAAACAUGCUACGACUAUGCCUCUUGAAUGAACUUAGGCAAUCGAUGUUCCAACGCGACGUUUUCCCAUCUCUCACAAUGGCCUAUAAACCAGCUAGUGUCGGGGUUCUCACAAUCUCGAGCUCAAUGCCGCUUGAUGGCAUUACCUCUCUCAUACGCAUGAUAUCAAGUCGAAUUCCUUACAUAAAAGCAAAUUGUCAUCUUUCAUGUCCAAAAUUUAACCUAGUUUAAACGCAUGAAUCGAUUAGCUCAUUUACUUUUAAGAACCAUAUGAAAAUCAAAUCAUCAUAUAGAAUGCACAUCAACCAAGAUCUAUCAACGACAACGUCUCUAACUACAUAAGUCCAAAAUACCAUCAUAUAUAACAAUGUCAUUUUAAGCAUUAAAAAUCAUAAUAAAUACAUAAUAGAAAAGCAUGAAUAAUAGUAACAAAGCACUAUCACCAAAUAGUGAGAUUUUCUAUAUCAAAGCUAGGUCAAACCCACGACGAAACACGACUUUUAUCGUUUGCUGGAAACGGAGGUUUCCACACUUUCUAGCACCCAGUAACAUCAAAAUGUGUCAUCCAAUUCGAUAACGAAAGCGAUAAGCUGUCGAUCAUUAACCAAAGAAGCAAAAGGGCCUAAACUUCACCUCAAGAGUAAAAUCUUCUCCUAAAGCUCAAAGAAGAGACUAGACACCUCCAAUCUAAGACCUCUAAAUAAGUCUAAUCCAGACACAAUAGCUCAAGCCCAAAAACGAAAAUGCCGCAAAAUAAACCCUAAAAUCUCCCAAAUCUAGGGUUUCAUCUCAAUGAAACUUUACAAAACCAAAUAAGGAAAGAUCCUGCCACUACCUCUAGAACUCAAAAAACACUCAAAGUCCUCACCUUCAAGUAACUUCCCUCAAUCAAACUCCAAAAUCCGAAGUCCCAAACUACCAAACAAUCGUGAAAUAAGCUCCAAAGGAAAAAAAGAAGAAAAUCCAAUCAAGAACAUGCAAAAAGGAAUCAAAUCCCAAAAGAUUGUGUUGGAGCUCCCUAACCUGGUUCUCCACUCUUCUCAGCCCAGGGGAGAGCCCUAGGGGCGUGGGUGCUGAUAUAAGAAGCCCACAAUCGCAAAUAAGCCCCUGCAGAGCAAACUGUGCAGAUUCUGCCUCCUUGUACCGGUACACGGGAUCUUGUACCGGUACAAGAGCUGCGAAAAUCCAAAUCCGAGGCUCAGGUGCGCGGUCCUGCGGCACUGUACCGGUACAGGCCCGAUGGCUGUACCGGUACAACCAUCAACAUUGUACCGGUACAAGACCAUCCUUGUACCGGUACAAGACCUGCGAAAAUGCAAACCGAGGCUCGGGUUUGCGAGUUCUCGGCUCUGUACCGGUACAAGCACAACCUUGUACUGGUACAAGCCCGCCAGACAGCCAAUCCGAGAGCUGACCAAAAUCCAAAUUUUUGGGUUUUGGUGCAAGGCUUCGUACCACACUCCUCGGGACAUGUGCCAUAGGUCGGAACACAGUCAACGACCUACCAGAAAUCUGGAAAGGCUCAGAGCACGACCAAUCACUCGAACCUCGCAAUUUACAAAGGUCCAGUGCGUUACACUGUACCCACUGACGACUAUGGACAAUAGUCUCACCCCCGUGUUGUUGUUUUUGGGGGUACCGGUUCACACGCGAGCGGCGCGGCGGCGCGAGGAAAGGGCGUAGCUCCGUAGUUAGCGCCCUACCACAGAGACCAGAUAGCAGCACUCUGAGUCGGCUUCUUAGGGGUAUAAGAAAAGAAAAGAAAAGAAUCGAUGUUGUAAUGUUAUGUUUAGAAAUCGAUUGUAUAUUUAGAAGUUGAGAGUCAAUGUAAUAAAAAAUGCGAUGUAAAAUGAUGAGAUGAAUGAUUGUAAUAAUAUAGGAUGUGUUAUGUUGUUUGAUACCUUCCUUAUGCAAUCGUUGUUGAUAAUUGUUCCUGUUUGGAACCUCUUGUAAUUGUAUUGAUUGCGACGCCUUGAACGUACAGGGGAGACUCUGUCCGCGUGCAGGGGAAACCCUGUCCGUUCGGCGGUCUGUUGGCGUGCCCGAAUCCGACCAAAGAGGCGGGCUCGGGGCGUGACAGGUAAGAUGGUAUCAGAGCAUAAAGUAGAGAAUGGGAAAGUGGUUUAGAUGAACCUAGGAGACCCUAGGAUAGUAAACCAUAGGAGAUUAAGGCUCGUGAGAGACGAGGACUUGUGACUUUUGGCGAAAGGUUAAGGGAUUGGGUUGUGUUGUAAACCUCUAAAAAGGAGAUUAGAGGUAGAUCCAAGGUGUUGUCUAUUCUCAACCGAGGGUGUUCAUGUUGGACGCGUACAACAUGAAACCGAGUGAUGAGAAUAGAUGCCCUUGUAUGACUUUCGCCCGAUUUGAGUUGAUGUCAAUUGUUUCAUGCUCGACCUAGAAGGUUGAGAGUUAGUUGAGUUGUCAUGUUCUAGGUAAAGAUGGCACCGCGUAGGCGAUCUUCGUUUAGAUCGACGCGGGGUGGGACAAGUGAUGUCCCUGAGCAAUCCGAGGCGAGCGGAGACUUGGAACUUCGCGAACAGUUGGCCACACUUGUGGGUGUGGUGAGGCAACGAGCAGAUGUGGUGCAGCGGCAGCAGGAGGCUGCUAUGCACCAGGAGGAGCGAAUUAAGAGACUCCGGAAAAGAAAUUGUAGGUGUAAUAUACCGAAAUUUCGGUAAGCGAACAUCGAACCUUGGUCAAAUUGACCAAAGAGCGAGGUUGGUACACUUCGGAAAGGCCGAAGGCGUCAAAUAAUGCAAAAGUGCGUUGCUGGGGGUCUUCGAGUGCGUUGGAAUUGAAAAUCUGCAAAGCUGCAGGUUUUCAGCUCUCAGGGACCGGUCCCAGGUCGGAGAGACCGGUCCCCGAGCGCGUGUGGAGUCUGGGAACUGAAGAUUUGGCUAAGUCUUGGAACGCAGCUCUCGGGAACCGGUCCCAAGGGGACAGACCGGUCCCCGAGAGACCGGUCUCACCAGGGGAGACCGGUUGCAUUGUGCGAGAGCUCUGCUGCCGCGGGGAGAGCUCUCAGGAACCGGUCCCAUGGUCGGGGAGACCGGUCCCAGAGCCCGAAGUCUGCCCAGUUUGGGCAGUGUUGUGAAAUAAAAGUUGAGGGACUUAGUUGCAAUUUUGCAAUGAAUAGAUUGUGUAUGAUGGGUGAAUGAGAUAUUUUCUCAUCCUCACCCUCACACUCUCUCACUUCUCUUUCUCUCUCUAGAGGACAAAGAAAGAGAGAGGAAGGAAAGGAAAAGAAGGAGAAGGAGCGGGCUUUGGCAGCCCUCAUAACCUUCAUAAAGUUUGAUCCACCUAUCUUCGAUGGAGAGAAUGUCGAUUCGUGAAUUGUGGAUACGUGGAUUGACUCUGUGGAAACGCUCUUCGAGGAGCUGUCUACCUUGGAGCGGGACAGGGUACCCCUAGCCGUGUAUUGUUUGAAACGGUCGGCUAAGGCGUGGUGGAAAGGCAUUCGGCGGAACCGAUCGCCUAGUAUUCCUCCAUGGCAUGGGAUGAGUUUCGGGGAUUGGUAUCUUCUACUUACUUCCCCCGACAGUGAAAAGAGAAAGCUUCAGGACAAGUUCAGGAAGCUGCGGCAAGGAGACCGCUCAGUUAGAGAGUACGAACGGGAAUUCUCCCUAUCGUGAACUAUGUCCAGGAUAUGGAACCUGCUGCUGACAACGUCAUGGCAGGUAUGAGCCAUUAAUGUAGUCAUGUGUUUCUGCAUAAUGUAAAGUUGGUGCAUUGCAUGCAUUGAGCAUGUAAUUAAUUACUACUAUUUAUGUAGUAGCAUAGUAGGGUCCAAGUGAGCGGAUAAAUGUAAAUACCCGAGCACGCUUAUGUGCUGAAAGCGUUGCACCUGCCGGUGCAGGUAGAGAACUGGAUGGUACUAGCGAGUUGCUAGUGAUGGUCUAAUGAUGAGACUUGUAGUAGAGGUGGAAACGACGAACCAACUCGCAGAGCAAUGUAUGUAAUUGAUUGUGAGAGUUGUGUCAUGACACUUGUGGACACUCGAAUGGUUUGAGUGUUCUAGAUGUUGCUCCGGUAGAGCGAUUAGCUGCCAAAUACGGGCGCGUUGGCCUAGUAGUACCUCGAAUUGGGGUGGGUGAGUCGUGCUCGUGUGGCCAGUGUGCAUAGGUAAGAGUUGCCUAAUGCUGGACAUAGUGUGGAGCGCUUUAGAGGCGUGCGAUACACGAGUAUAGUUACUCGUGGAGUGCGGAUUUAGUUUAGCCGGAUGAGUGUGUUGGCAGUAGCACCUGAGCAUUGCUAGGUGUGAAGCGUGCCACGGAUUACUCGUGGGGCUGGUGGCUCGCACUUGGUGCAUAGGAGCCGAUAGUGGUACGUAUUGCUCAAUGGAGCGUGUAGUGCGAUCGAUAGUAUACUGAGAGUGCGAGUGUGACCGAACCCGGGAAUCUGUAACGGUUUGGGAUCUUAGUUGCUCCUGGUUGGAGUGUGUGCGAAUUUUCAAGUGAGAAUUUCGCCCCAAUGAUGAUUGGGUCUGCAUUGCGAGCGAGAGACGCUGCGUAUUGAGAAAGGUUAGGCGGUAGGCCUACGUAGGAUUGGUGGCCUUUGGUCCACCUGUGGAGACCGAAGAGAGCGGUUUGGCGGAUAGCCUUAUCGAGGAGUCUAACUCGAAUUCACGAACGAAGUGUUCGUGUGAGUUGUUGCGAAAGUAAUGUGAUGUUGACCGUGGCAUAUGGUAUCAGGUGAUGAAGUGCUCUUGGUGAAACCUCGAGCUAAUGGCAAGCCACGUGGAGUUCGAGGAUUGGAAUUGGGAUGCGCCGAGGUGGGCCAUCUCUCGUCAAAGUUAAAGUUUAGUGCGGAAUUAGAGCACUUACGAUGAAGCGAUGCACCGAUGAUAUUGUUUUUAGGCAAUGUCGGUGAUUGAUUUAGAAUGCAUUCCUUGAAGGGGAAGUAAAUGCAAAGAAGGUUUCUUGCUUGCCAAGUGACAAGUGGGGGUUGGAGCGCGUAGAGUCGUCGAGUUUCGACUUGCCCUACCACCUAGAGUGACGGAGACCGUAAUGCACUUUGUGAGAUGUGCCUUGCAAAGUUGGAUGCGUUUGGUAUCAUAAGCUCCGUAGUAGUCCUCUUGGAUAGUUCCAAAGAGUGUAAAGCCCUUCCGAAGUGUAAAAGUGCAUUAGUGCCCUCAAUUGCUCUAGGAGCUGAAUUGAGGUGUGGUUUGAGUUUCGCGGACGAAACUCCUUUUAAGGGGUGGAGAAUGUAAUAUACCGAACUUCUAAUUCAUGAAGUUACGAUGUAUGUUAGCUUAGAAAGCCAUUGGAAUCGUUUCGGCGAAGUUCGGAAGCAUUCGGGUGCUUCGGUGCGCAUAGGGCGCGAAAACGAAGCCGAAAGGCUAUGUUGGACCGUGAGUUAAAUCCGGCAUUAGCGUGGAUGAAAAGAUGAUGAAAACAUGUUCGAAAACAUGUUUGGAGAGUCUCGGUUCGAUUUGAAAUGAAUCGGAGGUCAAACGAGCAAAAACGAGCGAAAACGGAGCUAAAACGGUGAAAAAGCUGAAAAUUUGGCUAAGUCCUUGAAGGCUGAUUUCUGGACCUUCGGGGACCGGUCUCUCAGCCAAGGACCGGUCUCUCAGGGACCGGUCUCUCAUCGCAAGGACCGGUCCCCGAACCCCGAAAAUGCCCAGUUCGGGCUGUUGCGAGGGAAGCAUUGUGGAGGGGCUUAAGUGCAAAAUGGCACUUAUGAGAGUGUAUAGAGAGGACCCUUUCUCUCUUUCUCUCAUUUCUCUCACUCUCCCACACCAAAACCUCUCCCUCUCUCUCUCUAGAAAGAAAAGAAGGAGAAGAAGAGAAAGAAAGAGAAGAAAAAGAAGAAGAUGAAGGAGAAGAGGCCAAGAAGAUGGAGCUUCAUCUUCAUCUCCUUCCUUGAGCCAUGGGAGCAAGCUUAGAGAGGUAAGCCUUAUGCUCUCUAAUGGUAGAUCUUUAGGGUUAAGUUCUUAUACUCUAAAGAUGAUUUUAAUGGAAUCCUAGCAUGCUAAAUAGAUGGUUUAUGCUUGAUUCAUGAGAUGAAAUGGUGGAUUUUGCAAUAGUUGCAUAUUAGGGCUCCUAAAGAGGGUUUUUGUAAAUAGUUGGGUUUGAUCUCAAUUGACCCUCUAUAAACCUAAUUGGGGACCAAACGAACGCGUUGGUGCGCUCGGUUCGACAAUCCGACGAGUGUACGCGAAGUUAUUGACGAAACAAUCUGUUUUGGUACAGAUAGCCGCAGCACGCGGGAUAAGCCUCCAAAAAUCAUGAGAAUGGAUCGGGAGCAUCGUGGUGUCGGGGAAUAAACUCCCGAACAGACGGAUCGCGAAUUGGUGGCCGUUCGGGUGGUCGCGUGAGAGAUCGGGCCAAACCGGGUUACGGGUGCCGCGGGAGGCCGAUUGCAAGUGUCGACAAGCAAUCGGAAUGCGAAAUGAGGUGGGUUGUGCUCACCGAAGCGAUUAGGUCGCUUUCCAUGCUAAAGUGUAGUAUGUUUACUAUUUACGCAUGAUAAAGUAUGCUAUUUAAGAAUGCAUGAUAAAGAUUAAAGUAUGCUAUUUGAGAAUGCAUGAUAAAGUAUACUAAUUAAGAAUGCAUGAUAAAGAUAGAUGCCAAAUGAAUGCAUGAGUUGAUGUUAAUUUAUAUGUGCAUAUUAUAGAAAUGCUAAAUAGAUGUCAAAUGAAAGUAUGAGAUUGUACUAACCGAGAAUGCAUGUAGUAAACGUUAACGAAUGCAUAAAAUGCUAAGUGAUGACUACCAAUGGAUGACAAAAUAUAUGCAUGUUGAACAUAGAUCGAGUGGCAUUCGAAAUGGUAAAGUGGACACUAGAGUUAGUGUGGGACAUCAAAGAAUAAAUGUGAUGUAAAGAACAAUGAUAAUGGCUAAAGAUAAUGUAAAACAAUGUGAUGAUAAUAAUGUAAUGUUGCAUGAUGUGAGUACACGUGCUUAUUAGAAUGAUUAAGAAUCUAAAUAAUCUAUGUGUAUGCAUGAGAUGUAAUGUGAGAACCUAAUGAUAAUGGCUUGAGACAAGGCAAAGCAAUGUGAUGUAAAGAAUAAUGAUAAUGGCUAAAGACAAUGUAAUGUAAUGUGGCAUAAAGAACGUGUAAAGUUAAAGAAUGUGAAAGCUAAAGAUAGCUUAAAGUAAAGGAAUGUGAAAAACGUGAUUGCUAGAGUUAGCAAAAGUAAAAGAGAUGUAAAGAACAAUGAUUGCUAGAGUGGCAACAUAAAGUGAUGUAAAGAACACUAGAGUUAGUGUAAAACCAUGAUCCAACUACAUAUCCUUAGAGUUAAGGAUUGAUCAUACUUGCUAUGAGUUCCGUGCUCGAGGGCGGUCGCUCCCCCUCGGGCGAUGCGCUCCGGAGUUUGGCAUCCGGGUUGGAGUAGACCCGUAAGGACGGUCCUAGCUGGUGAGUUCCUGCGAUGAUGGACUUAAUGUGAAGCAAGUUAAUGUGGCGAAACCCCCGGGUUAGCCGUGAGAUUAAAGAACAAAGAACAAAAAGGAAUCAUGAAUUGGAAAGUGGAUCUUGUAUUCAUUAUGAAUUGACUCAAGACCGAGUCGAGUGGCAUAGUUGGCUAAGGUAAAGGUAACCCUGUGAAAGAAUGACAAUUGAGAAAGAAUGACAAUUGAGAAACGUUUGUUAAUGUUAUAAAGAAUGGCAAAUGUGUAUAAUGCGCCUAAGGUGCGAGUGCCCUUAGCAAAGAAUAAAGAAUAAAGAAUAAAGAAUAAAGAAUAAAGAAUAAAAAAAGAAAGAGUAAAGAAUGGCUAAUGAUAAAGAAUAGCAAAUUCUAAAGAAAGGCUAAUGGUAAAGAAUGACUAAGAGUUGCAUAAUUUGCAUAUUUGUGAGGCAUGAACAUGUAUUGCAUGAUGUUAUAUAUAUAUAUAUCUGUUGGACUAACAUGUUGCAGUGCCUCCUUUGGACCUGGUGGGUUGAGCUUUUCCCUUGGGUGGCCGUACCCACUGGGAACUAUGGACAAUAGUUCUCACCCCAUAUUGUUCGGGAUUUUUCAGGUCCACACGCGAGCGGCGCGGCGGCGCGAGGAAAGGGUGUAGCACCGUAGAUAGCGUCCUACCACUAAGACCAUAGCAGUACCCCAAGUCGGCUAGCUAGGGGUAUAGAAAAGAAAUGAAAAUAAAAUUGUAAUAACAAAUGGUUGUAUUUUGGAAGUUAAAUGUAAUAUGUAAAAAGCAUGUGAUGUGAAUGCUUGUAAUAACUUAGUUGUUUUAUGUUAUUGAUACCUUCCUUAUGCAAUUUUUGUAUGCAAUCUGUUCCUAGUUGGAACCUCGCGAAUUGUAUGGAUUGUGGCGCCUAGGACGUAUAGCGGAGACUCUGUCUGUUCGGCGGUCUGUUGGCGUGCUCGAAUCCGACUAAAUAGGCAAGUCUCGGGGCGUGACAGCCCGAGUGAAAAUGGGAGCAGAUAACGAUGGACUUUGUCGUGGGUUUACUGAGUGCAGCGUGAUUUCGAUGCUAUUUGGGUGAUAGUGGACAGACUGACCAAGUCUGCUCACUUCCUACCAGUACAGACCAUCUGGUCCGGAGAGAGAGACUCUUUCAGUUAUACCUGGAUGAGAUUGUAAGGUUGCAUGGUGUGCCGAUCUUGAUAGUAUCAAAUAGAGACCCGGGGCUUGUCUAACAUUUCCGGAGGAGCCUUCAUACGGCCUUGGAUACACAGCUACAUUUCAACACAGCGCUUCACCCACAGACAGAUGGUCAGUCAGAGCGGACCAUUCAGACAAUGGAGGACAUGCUGAGAGCUUGUGUCCGGGACUUUGGAGGAGGGUGGCAUCGACAUUUGAGACUGGUUGAGUUUGCAUACAAUAAUAGCUAUCAAAUGAGCAUUCAUAUGGCUCCGUUUGAGGCAUUGUAUGGACGCAUGUGUUGAUCCCCUUUACAUUGGAGUGAUGUGGGUGAGAGGAAGACUCUGAGAGCUGAAAUUCUGAUAGAGGCAGAGGAGAAGGUCAAGGUUGUACUACGACACAUUUUGACAGCUCAGAGUCGAUAGAGGAGCUACGCCGAUACCAGGAGACGAGACUUAGAGUUUCAGCUUAGAGAUCAUGUGUUUCUGAAAGUCUUGCCGUCCCGAGGGAUACGCUGAUUCGGAGUUCAUGGAAAGCUCAGUCCACGGUUUGUAGGCCCUUUUGAGGUAUUGGAGGGAGUCGGACCAGUAGCAUACAGGAUUGCUCUACCCCCACGACUGGCCGGUGUUCAUGAUGUUCUUCACGUUUCGGCAUUGAGGAGAUACGUGUUCGACCCCUCACACGUGAUUGACUUCACUCCACUAUAUAGAGCUUGGCGAGGACUUGAGAUAUGAGGAGCGACCGGUGCGGAUUCUUGCUCGUGGGACGAAGAAAUUGCGCAACCGGCUCAUCCCUUAUAUAAAAGUGCAGUGGAGUUAUCACGAGGAGCGUGAGGCGACUUGGGAGUUUGAGACGGUGAUGCGGGAGUCUUACCCUUACUUGUUUGAGGCUCAGGAGUGAGGUAUGUGUUAAGUUUCGAGGACGGAACUUUUUGUAGUGGGGGGGGAUAUAGUAUCCCUGAUGUUUGGUUGCUAGUGAGAUUUCAGCAUCUGAGACUUGUCGACACAUCUGGAGAGUGUCGGCACAAGUCAGAGUCGUUUUGGCGCGAAAUGGACGCAAAACGGACUCAACGCGAGGCGAGAGUGGAGUUCUGACGCUGAAAUCCGCAAAGUGCAGGAUUUCAGUGUUGAGUACCAAUACCAUACAAGGAAGUACCGGUACCCCAGUGUAUGGUCAGAACUGAUGCUCUCGGGUUGUGCCAAUUUGAUGCUGAGUACCGGUACAGUAUCGUUGGUACCGGUACCCUGUGUGAGAGCUUGCGGGCUGAGAGGCCGAGUACCGGUAACCAAAUCGGGUACCGAUACUCCAACUGGUUUGUUGAGUUGGUAGGGGUAGUAGUGUCUUUUUGGUUGGUGGUUAUCCACACCACCUAUUCCCUCUCAUAUCUAUCCACCUAAGAGAGGAUAAUUAUUUCAUUUCCUCUCUCUUUAGUUUUUGAUCGUGAGCUUGGUGGUGGUCGUGGUUCGAGCUCGGAAGUCGUCGCCGUUGCGCCGGAGGGUCAUUCGAGUGCGUGGGCGUCGCGGUUGCGUCGUUGGGAGGCCGAGUGAGCGCGUGGUUUUCCUCAUGUUGACAUCUCGCCGUGGUUGGACGGGCUUUUCGAGGUUGGUUGAAGUUUACUGAAAGCGUCGGAAUUCCUUCUAAGUUUUAUCAACGUCAACAUGUGUUUCUAGGUUCAUUGGUUUAUCUUGCAAGUACUCGAAUUCAUGGAAAUUAUAGGUUAUGCUAUAGAAUUUGAAUAUAGGGUUAAGCUAGUUACUUUGUUUAUGCAUGUUGGACCUAGAUUUGACUUAGGAGAAAACUAUAGAUCCUACACUGUCAUUUUCUAAAAAUUACCAGAUUUAGCUUUAGAAGAUGUAGUUUGUUUGUAUCGCCGCUGUUCGUAUGCGAUAGAUACCCAGAUUAGUGUAGGGUGAGUUUACGCUCGUGCUGGAAUGCUGAGCUUAUUUUACAGUAGUGUGUAGACUGUUCAGAAUUGUCGGGUGCUGUCGCAGUUGACAGUGGACCCAGAUUUCUGUAUUUGCAUCAGAUUGUACCGGAGGCACGUGAGCUUUCGUUGUUAAACCAACUAAAACCUUUUUCUUUGAUUGUAGCCUGCGAGAGCCUUAUUGAGCUCGGCAGAAAUACGCUUGCAUGCUCGGUUGGGUAGCGCCCACGAGUGCCACUCCGGAGUCGGGCUUUGUGCGUUCGCGUUGAUGUCGUCAUGUUCGAGUUGGACUUACACUCCACUAACAACCCAGCGUGGUGGUGGUUGGUGUAGCUUCGACAGACGGGAUAGGUGCGUUCACAGUCCCUUGUGAGAUUGAGUCAGAGAUUGCAUCUUGUUUAUAUCUACAGAUAGUUAGCAUUGGUUAGCGAUAGUAUAGUGGCAUAUAACUGUAGAGUGUUACCAGCUUCCUUUACUAUCCUUGAGCAUACUUUUUGUACACUUAGUGGGGGAGCCAUUGAGGUCGGUAGCGGUACCCACUGAGGACUACUUUUUGCAGUAGUACUCACACCCAGUUGUUGACCCCUUUUUGCAGAGCCUUCAUCUGCGGCUGCUACUGUUAUAGAUUCUGAUCGUGGAAAGGGAGUCGCUAGCUAGACCCCUUAUAGCCUUGCUGCAGUAUUGGGGCUUUUUGUACAUAUGGACUUAUUGUCUGGGUACUCGCUGGAGCGAGUGGUGUAGUAGACAUUUUGUAUGUACUAGAACCCCUCGAGGUUUUUAUAUAUGCUUUUUUCAGUUUAGCAGCUCUUACCUUGUGGUUGUAGCUUGUUUUCGUUUACAGGUACAGCUAUCGCUUCGUAUACAGAAAAAAUUUCUAUGUAUACGGCGGGUCUGUUGGUGUGCCCGAAAAAAUGUGUAAUCCAGGGCAUGAAAGAUUGUAAGGACUGAGAUUUUGGCAGUAUAGCUAAAUGCUCUGUUGACAAUGUUUUUGUGUGUAAUUUAAUUACAAAAGUACUCAUCAAGUUUCGGAAGAAAACGAGUUAGAACGGAGAUUUUACGCGAUCUCCAAGUUUCACUUAAAGUGAAU